rnacentral:lncRNA from 1 species
AAAAAAAAAAAACCUUUUUAUAUAUUUGUAAAAGCAAAAAAGUUAUUGAAAUAUAAUUAUAAAUAGCCAGGAAAAUGAAUCAACGUGUUUUAUUAUUAUUAUUUACUUUUUUUGCAUGAACUUUUAUUAAUUUUAUUUAUUCUUUAAGCUAAGCUUAAAAAUUAAUUUUUUAUUAUAGAGUGUUAUUUUAUGGUUUUCUUUUUCUUAAUUCGUGGAAUGGACGGCGACCAAUUUUGGUAGCCUUUAUGGGCUUGUAAUCAAUCAUAAAGUUGGACACCGUUUUCUACAUGCCAAUCAUGUAAUGUCUUUUCAUUCUUAUCCAUCCUCAUCAACAAAAAUUUAAAUAUAAAAUAUUUUCUUUUAUAAAAUAAAUUAUGUUUUUAUAUAAUAAUUCAAUCAAAAUAAGAACUGAACUCAAAAUAGCAUGCAUGAAUAUGAUAUUUGUUAAUUAAAAAUCGACAAUAUUUGAAUUAUUAUACUUUAACACAAUUCCUAAUGCAAACAUAAUGAUGAAUGCGUGAAAUUAAUACAACGUUUAGUAUGUUAAAAAUGCAAGAAAACCAAAAUAGCGAAUAUCAUAUUGGGAGGUAUAUCAACGUUGUUUUUUCUACUGUCAACCAAGGUGACAUGGCCUUGACUUCUAUUACCUGAACUGUUUAAAUUUUAUUUAAUCGUGUUUUAAAUAAUUUCAAAGAUUAAAACAUUUUAAUACAAAAAUUUGAACUUUAAAUCGAUCUCCAUCUCAUUACAUAAUUCAACCACUGAGUGAGGCUGGGUAAUAGACAAAGAAUUAAGAAUGCUAGAAACCGAUAUCUAUGAGAACUUCAAAUAUUCUAAAAUAGGUUUAAUUUAUUAUAAAUUAAUCAGCCCAUUCCAUUCUUACACAAAAUCAAUCUCAACUCUGAUUCAAAUUAAAAAUAGUUUAUAAAUUUAAAGAGAUUUUAACAUUAAAAAUUCAGAUUAAACAUUGCAAAAGUAAGCCAUAAUUCUACUGGUAUCCACAGGGGUCUUGGCCCCUUAGUCAAAUGGUCAAUUUGCCUUUUAGGUCUUUCCCAAAAUUAAAAAAUUUUAGUUUUGAUUAAAUAAAAAAUUUAUUAUAAUUUUAGUCCUUUUGAAAAAUUAAUACUUCAAUUUAAGCUUUUUUAAUAUAAUUUCUUUUUAUUUUUUAGUUUUGCCCUACUCCAAAUUUUAUAUUCUCAUCUCAACUUCAUUUAAACAAAACUUUUAGCUUCGCCCCUUCAUGUUGGUACUGAUCUAUUUCAACUUACCGUUUCAAACUUAUUGCUAUUUUUUAAAAACAUCUGAUAUAUGUAACAAAAAAAAAGAUUUACAUAUAUCACAUAAUGAGAUUAAAUAAAUAUCAAAUAUCAAAUACCCAUCAAUUAUAGAAAAUAUUCUUUCAUAAGCUUCACAAAUACAAUCCAUAUUUAAACAAACAAAAAAAAUCAUCUCAUAACGAUUUAAAAAUUCCAAAAUAAAUAAUAAAUAAAUUGAAAUUAUAUUUUAGAAUUCUAUUUUUGUACGGGCCAGUGCAUUAUAUUUUGAUUGGUACGAAAAAAAUCAAUUAGUAUGCAAUAGUCGAUACCAACCAAAAGUUUCAACGAAACAAAACCUAAAAUUGAUCAUUCUAAUUUACAUACAAAAUUUUUCAUAACAUAUUUAUCCUAAUAAACAAGAUUUUAGCAUAUCAAACUUCAUAAAUAAAAUAUUGUAAUUGAAAUAAAGGGAAUAAAGGUUGAUUUAAUUUAAAACAUAAACUAUUUAUAAAAUUAAAGGAUUGGUCAUAACUAAAAUGUGGACAUUUAAUGCUGUGAAGGGAUACUUUUAUUAGUCGUUUUGCACACAACACCAUUAAUGGAUGGGUGGGUGGAAGAAUAUCCUAAAGAACCGCAAUGGGUUGUUGGGUUGUUCAUACAUCCUUCCAUUAUGCGCAGCCUUUUUAAUAGAAAUAUCCGGAAUUGGUAAAGCCAUGUUUUUCGUAAUUUCAUUUUGGAAAUAUUACUUUUUUCCAUAUAAAUAUUUCUAACUUAGGUUCAAGUUUUAUAAAAUAAAUUACAUAUAUAAAUUUGCUUCUAACUUGAAGAUAUUCAGUCAAACAGAUCUAUAGCAUGGUUUAAAGAGAUGUGCAAAUCAUGGAAAUUCAUACUAGCUUGGUUCACAAAGUCCACAAAAACUUACACAAUGAAGAUUUGUUUACUGUUUUGAUAUGAAUAUUCAUGAGUGUUUUUAUUUUGUAAACAAAUUAAUUUUAUUAAUUUGGUCUAAGUUUUCUCAAGGAAAAGAUUUAGGGGAGGAUUGAAUCCGGCAAUAAGUUGUGUGAGUUGAGCUUGAACCCGAUUAUUUAAUUUAUUCAUAAUUAAAUAAUAAUAUAAAAUAAUUAAUUUAAUCACAAGCCAUUUAUUGUCUUUUCGAGAUAAUGCAUCUAUUGUAGGUGGUAAUUCAUGCAAUCUAUUUUUCAUUUGUCAUUUUGUCCGUUCAUUUAAAGUUCUUAUUAUACAAUCUGUUUAGAGUUGUAGUGAGCUGGUGAAGGGAUUGAUUUGGCAUAUAUAAUUGGGGCUAAAAUAAUUUGAAUUAAGUUCUAAUUCUUUGCCUAUUAACUACAGAGUUAUUUAAUCAUAGAUUCAAUCCACUAAAAAUACCAUGAUUGAAUUCCGCAUUAUAUACCAUUACGAAAGCAACUUAAAAUAAACUUUUUUUUCCCAAUGACCUUGUCAUAUGUGAGUUACCCUCAUAUGAUAUCCAUGAUCCCUUUAGGUUAAAUUUAUUCACCUAAUCUAAUCAAUUUUUAUCUCAUGAUCACCAUUGUAUCUUCUGCAGUAAAAAUAUCAUUACUUAAACUAGUAAAGAUAAAAUCAUUUGUUCAAGACAAAUGAUCUAUGACCAUGUUCCAUUUUCAUAAUCCAUAUAAUGCUAAUAAGCACUCAUAUUCCAUAUAUUUCAAACCUCUAUUACUCUAUUUUUUAUUGUUCCAUGAGCGAAAUAUUGUGUUUUAGCUUCUUUUGUGCAUUUAGUGUUGUUUAUGCAUGCUUUGCUAUUUUUCUUUAUUUUUAGUUUGAUUUUAUGUUAGCUAGUUAUAAGUGAUUGUUUUGAGUGUUUCUGUGACUUAAAUUAGGUGCAUAUGAGCUUGGAAGGCAAUGUGCAAGUCAUCAAGGACGGAAUGAGUGUUUAAACAAAGACAAGCGGGUCGCAACCUCACAACCCAGCGCCGUAGCUCCAACCCAAUGUAGUAAGUUGGUGCCCAGCCCAACAACUAGCGCCCCAAGCUCCCACCACAACACGGUUUCACCAAGCCACGGCGCCACUGUUCGUUUCAUGUGGGUUUGUUUGUUGUUUUAAAACCGAUAUGCAAGGCUACUUUCGUCUUUUUGAGUAUUUAAGUUUAAGUCUAGUUUGUAACCUUAGUUUGAAGUGAAUUAAAACUCUAUAACUCUAUAGAUAAGAUCUUAGAAGAGAGGUGAAUCAUCUCCACUCUCAAUUUUAAUUCAAUUUGUGUUUUAUUUUCUUAUCGAUUUCUAAACUCUUCUUUUCUAGUAAAAGUAAUAUUCGAAAUUUGAUUCUACUAGUUUCUAAUAUCGAAUUACUCUCAAACUUUUUUUGCUCUUUGGUAUUUGCAUGUCUUCUGGGUUAAUUACAAUUGUUCAGGCUUGUUAAAUAUGUGGCCAAUAUUUGAUAGCUUAGUAUAAUUGCUUUGUCAAUUAGAUAAUUAGUUAAUCGAUUGAUUUCUAAUAUUUUUGACAACUGCAUGAUUAUUUGUGUAGUGUGGGCAUGCGAUCUAACUUAAAUAAACCCUAAUCAUGCAUUUUUGGAUAGAAUUCAGUCUCUUUCAUUCUUAAGGCUAUUGAUAAAUUAAAUUCUUAAGAGAUUGUUAUAGGGUUGUUUGUCAAUAAGAGAAGUAAUUAAUGAUGAUUGUCUUGAUUAUUGAGAAGGUAAGAAGAGAUUAGGUUACUUGACGAUCAUCAGUAACUAUAACCAAUUUAUUAAAAGAACAUUGAAAAUUAUUUUUGCAUCAAUGAUCAAACCUUUGAUUCAAACGGAUAAUUUACUCUGACUAGAAGCUUCAUCUCAUUUAUUUUUUUUCCAAAAUAUUGAUUAUUGCUCUCUUUGCUUCUUCUAAAUUCUUUAUUUUAAUUUUUUUUCUUUAAACAAAUCCCCCUUCUACCAAUCUCCAUGUGUUCGACCCUACUUGCUGCUUCUACUAAUUAUUUUUCUUCAAGUAGGUUUUAUUUUGGUGUCUUCGACAACUGUAAAAAUGCCAAUGAUAGUAUACAAUUUACAUUUUUUUUUAUCAAGCUAUACUUCCACUAUUGCAAGUGAAGUCAUGCUAUGCAUAAGUCAUGUAUCUAACAUAACAACUUUCAGCCCACUACCUUGAGAGCAUAUAUUUUUAAUAUCAAAACACAUGAUUUAUACAUACAUGGUUAUUUACGUACUCAUGAUUUAGGCAAGUCACACUAUAAAUAUCACGAGUGAAUAAAUUUAUAAACAAAUCUAGGAUAAAUUGAACAUAUUUUCAUUCUUGACAAUCGCAUCUAUAUCUCUAUUUCUAGGAGUUAAUCUUCCCAAUUGAAUUUAUAGAUGACAUAAUAGUCUUAAUACGAGUCAUUUUCCUAAUCUAACCCCAUGAACUACAAGCAAUUUGGAUUACCUACUAAUAUAAGUUCUUUUCUCGCAUUAUAACCCAACCAUCUAAUGCACUUUAAUAUUAGUUAAAUCUUAGGUAACUGAUAAGCCAAUAUUUGCUCAUUCAUUUUACUUUAUGUACAAAAACCAUUAAAGACAAUCAUACAAAUGAUAUUAAUAAACAUGUAGUGAAUUUUUUUUUUUUCAACCAGUUUGAAUCAACCAGUUUGAAAAAGUAUUAGUAGACAAAGACAAAAUCAACUACACUCAAGGCACAAAUCCUAAUAGUAAGGCACCUAAGCCAAAAAUUACAUAGGUUAUUGAAAAGUAUAAAACAUCAAAUUAUAAUUCUAAAGCUCUUAAUGCAAUCAUCAAUAGUAUGGACCCUUAAGAAUUAAGGAGAAUUUCCAAGUGCACCACUGCUCAAGAGACAAGGAUCAUUCUUAAGGUUGCUUAUGAAGGGAUUUAUUCUAUGAUGCAAUCAAAACUCCAAAUGCUAACAUCCAAGUUUAAAACAUGAGAAUGCUAGAAAAUGAAUAUAUAUCUUAUUUUUAUAUUAACCUGUAUGAAAUCUCUAACAAAGCAUUUGCUCUUGAAAUGGAGUACUCAAAUACCAAGUUGGUAAGCAAAGUACUUAGAUCUCUCCUAGAUUUUUUCUCCAACAAGGUGACAAUCAUAGAGGAGGCUAAGGACAUUAACGCAAUGAGAAUUGAUGAGUUGAUUGGGUCACUACACAUGUUCGUAGUAAAUCUAGAUGAAACCAAUAAGGGGAAAGUCAAGACAAAAAAUAUUGCUUUGCAAGUUGCAACUAAUGAAGAAACUACCAUUGGGGAUCUACGAGAGUAGUUAGCCCUUCUCACUAAGAACUCCAACAAGGAAUUCAAGAAAUUUUCUAGAAACAGAAAAGUAUUCGAAAGAGGUUGAAACUUGAAGAAAGGAAAAGGGAAAGCAAAAGUCAAUGAGGAGGCCCCAAGAGGGAAAAAAAGGCCUAUAGUGUUAUGGAUGUGAGGGGUAUCGCCACAUUGUGUGCUAAAAAAAAGAAGUCUCUAUGUGUAACAUGGAGUGAUGGGAACUUAGCUAGCGAAAAGGAGAAAGAUUAUGAUCACUUGAGCAAUUUUGUUACCUUCACAUCUCAAGUGGCAAUUGAAGUUGCAACUGACUCUGACAACUGUAGUGAUAGUGAUGCUAAAUCAAUAGAGGACUUCCAAAAUACCUACAAUACCAUGUGUGACAAGCGGGAGGUUUUCAAGAUUAAUUUGUUGUUGAAAAAGGAGCAAAACUCAAUGAAGAUGUAAAGGAGUUGAUAGCAGCUUAGUCCAUUUUAAAGAAGAUAGGUUUCAUAAGUGAAGCGGGAUGAAACCUUUGCUAUUGCAAAAAGGGAGCAUGGUCGUAGAGCUUUAGAUAUGUGGACACAUGUGAUGAAAAAGUGACCCUAACAAUCUUUGUAAAAGUAAAUUAGAAUGCUGACAAACCUGGAAGCUCUAAGAAGCCUGACUCUUUUCACAUUGCUUUUCUGGUACAAUGAUCAUUCAAACCCAAGCUAUUCUUAAGAUGAUGAACACCCAACUAAUAGGUCACAACUUGAGUUUCACUUUUCACAUUGUUAAAAAGCACCAAAGGUACAAAAGAAGUGGUGUGUCAUUAUUUUUCCUAAUUAAAGAAAAUAAUUUUUUAUAUAAUUAGAUAUAUUAUUAACUUUUUUUCUUUCUAAUCAACGAAGUCAAGGGAUAAGAAAUUAGUUUCCCUAAUUACAUUAGUUUUUUUAUUAAAUAUAUCUAAUGUUAAAUUACUCCUUUUUUUUUCAUUUCAACGAAAUUAAAGGAUAUAUAACUAUAAACUAAUUUAAAAAAUUGAGGGACAAAUUUAACUCAAAAAAGGAUAUAGAUUAAAUUAACAAAAGAAAUAUAAACAUUAAAGAUUCAAUUUAUCAUCCUACCUAAUAAAAAUACAAAAAUACCAAAUGCAGAUGUUUUUAUUUAAAACUGGCAUGUUUGCUUUGUUGGAACAAUUAUUUGAGCGAAAGAAGCUGAAUGCUUAAAUUGCUAAAACUCAUGCUUAGUUUUAGACAACUCUUUUGAUAUGCAUAUUUGUAUUGAAUGGGCUAACGUUCAAGAUUAUACUACUGUCUCCUACAUGAGAUAAAAUUUUCUUUUAAUCAUAGAUUUUUAUUUUUAAGUUUAUUGAUGAAUAUUUUAUAUUUAAAAUUUACUUAAUAUCAUUCAUUUAAUAUUUUUAAAUAUUAAAGUAUAUACUAAUUAUUUUUAAAUAAAAAUUGAUAAAUUUGAAACGAUACAUCGUUACAGACGAGUACUAAUAUGUACCAAUUCCAGUAAAAAAAUACUGCACUCACCGAUACUAUACUGACUACCUUGAUUUAUACAAAAAAAAAAUCUAAAAUAUUUUUAAAAAAUAUAAAUCUCAAAACUAUGAAUAACUUUGGUCAAAUAUAUAAUGUUAUAUAUAUAUAUGAAUAAGAAAAACUAAUAAGUAUAUAAAACAAUAUAUGUUAAAAAAAUGUAAUUAUUAAAUAAUUUAGGAGCAAAGUCUUCCGUAAAUGUAUUUAGUCAUUACUUUCACAUUUGGCAUUUAAUUUUACAAUUACAUUCAAACAAACUUAUCAUAAUUACUAAUUUAUUUUUGUAUCUCAUCAUUAAUUACAGUGAUAAUAAUUAAAAUUACCACCGUUGCUGAAUUUAAUUGAAAAAGGAUCUAUCAUCAUCGAAUUUGUUCAAUUUCCAGACAAAGAAAAUGUGAACAAGGAAAGAAAGGAAGAAAGUAUUCUUCCCUUUUUUUCCUUAUAUCUAAUCAUUGCAAAGAAAGUUUUUAAUAACUUUUCCUAAUUCUAUCAUUAAAUUAAUCUUUUCAACAAACAAAGAUAACUUUUUCAGUUUUGUUUUUAAUUUGAUUAAAAAUAAAGCAAAAUUGCAUGGAUUUAUGGAUUUAUGGAUUUAUGGUCGGCAUUUUACUCAGGUUAAUUUUAAUUUUUAUACUUUUGAAAUUUUAAAAUUUUAAUCUUACCCUAAACGGUAAUAGAGUUGUAAAUUUAGUCCAAAUUCUGAAACACCCCAAAACAUAUAGGGUUAGAUGAAAUAAGUAACUAAAUAAUGAUCUAGACUAAAUAAUUAAGUAGCUAAUGCAUUCCCUAGACGUCCUGUGAUCAUCGGCCAGGCCUCAACAAAAUUUCAAGCCCGUUUUCUAGGCUUAGGCCCGGCCACACCCAAAAAAUUGCCUAAAAAUUUGCUCAAGCCCGACCCGAAUUAUAAUAGUUAACUCGAGCCCAAUCUAGCCCGACCUUAUUACAUUUUUUAAGAUUAUUUUAUUAUAUAAAUAAUUUUUAAAAUAAUAUAUCAAAUACACUUACAAAUAUUAAAACAAAUAUUAAUACAACAAACAAAUUAAAACCGAUGUUAAAAUAAUUCUUAAAACAACAAACAAAUUGACAAUACAAUAAAAAGUCUUUAUAUUAAGAUAGUUACAACUAAAAUGGUAGCAAAAUUAAUAAUAAAAUAAAACUUCUACAAUACCCAAAUAAUAUUAAAAACGACUACCAAAUAAUAUUAAAAAUGGUAGCGAAACAAUAUAAUAAACAAUUGUGAAACCACAAUAAAACAACACAAAAAUUAAAAAACCAAAACAACACAAAAAACAACCUGCAAAAUGUAAUCAACCAAUCAACAUAUUUAAUUUUAUAACAAGCUAUAAAUCGUAAGCUAAAUUAAAUUGUCAACAAUUACGAAGAUAACCUAGAAAACAAUCGAAGAAACAUCGUCAUCAUCAUUUUUGCAAUCAAUUUCUAAUAUGAAAAAACAAUAAAUAAUCAGAUAAUCAAAUUGAUAAAAUGUUAUAAAAUUAUAGCAAUAAAAACGAGAAUAAUAAUUACAUGUUGAAAAUCCCCUAGCUCACAUCCAAUCAUCAAAGCAAACAAUGACUUAAACCAUUUUGGGCUUAAGUGAACUCCUCAAAGGUGUGAUAACUUUCUUCCCAAUGUUAAAAGUCGACUCGAAAGCUACAGUCGAUAUUGGAGUUGCCACAAGAUCAGAGCCAAUAAUGAAAGCUCAUUAUAUCGAAUUGAACUUUUGCUCCAAUAAUCCAAAACAUCUAUUUGGCUAUUCAACUCAAGCUUUGGUUUUUCCAAAUAAAUGUCCGACUGUGACUUUUCACUCUCAGUCCUAGAUUCAUUUAAGUACCGUUUAUAAUUAUCACUCUCAUCAUGUCUUGGUAUUUCAAAUGCAUGUCUAUUUUGAUGUGAGAAAAUCAUAACAACUAACAAAAUGGAUGAAAAUCACACCUUUUCAUCAUUAGAAAGAAUAUGUAAUUGAGUCAACCUUGCUUUUAGGGUUUAUUGACAACAAGUCCUUAAGUAUUUAAAAGCUUCUUAUCAUUUGAAUUGAUAUUAAAUCCAAUAUUUAAGCUUUUACCAUGAUGACAACAAUUACUAUAUGAAAUACCAUUCAUUCGAUCUGUGUAAAUCAAAUAGGCAAGCUCUGCAAUUUUAAUUUCUAUAUAAUAUAUCUGACUUUCUACAACACAGUAAAACAGGUAGACUAUAUUAAUGCAAAGUAAAAAAUGCCUUAAAAAAAUGAGAGUGAGAGAGGGAAAAGCAAAAACGAUUGCAUUUUGAGAACAAAAGAGGAUUAAGAGUAUAAGCAAAGCAAGAAGAUAAAUGAAAAGAAUGAGAGGGAAACGGAAAGGGAAAGGGAGAAUGAUCUUCCAUAAAUUGAUGUGGCAAAUUAGGCUUUUGCGACACACUUAAGGAGUUUUUUCUGGAGUAAAAUAAAGUUUUUAACUUAGUUUUUGGUUAUUUUCGUAUUUUUAUAUUUUUCGGGUAAUAAGUCAUCGAAAAGUCAUCAGAACAUCCUUCAAAACAGCCAAAAAUUGCUGAGGAUGAGAGUGACACAUUUUAACUUAAUUUUAGGUUUAGUUUUCUCUAAGAACUUAGGUGGUGACACCCUUAAGGGAAUAUUAAGAUAAAGUGAGAUCGAAAGGUAAUCUUAUUGUAAACUCGUUCGUUAGACCCGGAUUAACUGGCGAGAUUGGAAGAUAAAUCGGAUCUAAUUCGUCUAAGUCAGUAAAAUUGAGAUCAGAAGAUAAAAUGGAGCCACUUGGUAAUUUACGUGAUUUAUGUCCCUAGUCUGAGAUUUGGUGAACCACAUCGAAGUCAACCAACCCCCAUUAGUUAUUUGCUAGAUAAUCCUUCUAGUUUACAUUUCUUACAAUUUAGUCCCUACAAUAGAAUAUUUAAUUUUCUUGCAAACUUAUCUUUUAUGAAUUGCCGUAAUAUAAAAUCGUAUUAUUAGCCACUUAGCCUCUAUUGUGUAUGCUAGUUAUUAUUCAAUCGCCUCUUCCUUUGGAUUCGAUCCAUGGAAUACUUUGGUGUUUCAUUAUAACACUAUAAAUAUUACAACUGACUUGUAUGCUUGCAAUAAAACCAUACUUUAACAAUUUUUUUAUAAAUUCAUUGUUUUAAUACGUAUGUGCGCAGUUGGUCAAGUUGUUGGCACCGUUUUCGAGGAAGACGGUGUAAGAUUUAGUAUUUUUUCGUGUACACUUUUAGGUAGAGAUAAAUAACCAAAGUAGGAUUUAUAAAUACAAUUUUAUUUUCCAUUUAUUUUUGUGUUAUUUAACUUUUAGUUAACUUUCUUCACUCGUGCUUGAAGGAACGUUAUAUUACUCGAACCAGUAAAAAUGUUUUACCAUUUGAGCCGAAACCAGAAUGUAUCCUCACGCAUGGUCUCCUUACUUGAUGCUAUGUUAUGUGAUUAGAGAUGGUUAAGACCUGGGAUAACAACGCCUAAUGUUGAGGUUUCACAUUUCAAGAUUAAUCCAUAAUUUAUUUCGUGGAUUGUGGCUAAUAUUCAAUUUCAUGAAAAUGGCAAUGAAAGUCUAGUGAACUUUCUGCGCAAGUUUGACAACAUAUGUAGCACCGUAAGUUAUGAAGGGGUACAUCCGGACAACAUCAGAUAUGUAGCGAAGAAAUAGUUGGAUAUAUAUUGCCUUAUGACACUAUUGCUACAUGGAAAAAAUUAUUUGGCCAUUCCUGAAGAAGAAUAUGCCCAUUGUGACCGUACUCCAUGCUUAUGAAGAGUUGUUUGAGUUCUAGUAAAAAGAGACUGAAACUUUAAGGCAAGUAUGGGAAAAAAUUUAAAAGGUUUUGAGAAGCCUCAUCGGGAAUAGAGUAGAGAGAGCAACACAAAUUCAAUGUUUUAAUGCUAGGUUGGAUGUAGACAGUAUGGAAAAUUUUGAUGUAAUUUCAGAGGGAAGUAUUUGGACUAGAACAAUGAGAGAGAUAACAAUCCUGUUUGAGAAUGUUAGCACCAGUGAUUCCUUUUCUAGGGAUGAUUGUGGUUCUGAUAAUAAUAAAUCUAAUAAUAUGUUCAAAAAAUUAGAGAGCCAUGAUGCAAAAAUGGUUCAAGGACCCACCAAACCCCUGGUCAAAGAAAAAUGCGAAGUCUUCGUACAGGAAGAUUAUAAAUUGGAAACAUUUUUGCAUAUUGAAAGUGUUGAGUCUACCAAAACGGAGAGCAUAGAAGAAUGUCAAGUGCUCUCUACGCUAGACAUGGGCGAACUAAAUAUUGAAGAAAAGGAUAAUGACUUGUGUGAAGACUUAGAUGUUCAACUGGCACCAGAUUAUGUACAUCGACUUGACUGGUGUAAGCACUGUAAAGAGACUUUAGGGCUUCUGGAAGAUGCAUCUGAAACCUCUUCCUGAAGGUUUAAAGCAUAGGUAUUUAGGAGAACACAACAUUUUACCUGUUAUUAUCUCUUCCCGAAUAGAGGCGGAAAGAGAAACUACAUUCCUUCAUGUGUUGAAAGCACAUAAAAAGGUGAUUGGAUGGACGAUUGCUGACAUCAAGGGAAUAAGAUCAUCCCUUUGCCAACGUAAAAUAUUCUUAGAAUAGGGAAAAAAGCCUGUGGUUGAUGCACAACGAUAACUCAACCCGGUAAUGAAAGAAUUAGUGAAGAAGGAACUCACAAAGUGGUUAGACGCUAGUAUUGUCUACGCUAUUUUUCAUAGUGAUUGGGUAAGUCUCAUACAUUGUGUCUUAAAAAAAGGAUGGAUAACUGUGGUUUUAAACAAAAAAUACGAAAUCAUACCGAUUAGAAUUAUGACCGAGUGGCGUGUCUACAUUCGGAAGUUGAGUGAUGUUACAAGAAAGGAUCACUUCUCUUUGCCAUUCAUUGAUCAGAUGUUGGAUAGACUAGCGGGGAAAGAGUUUUAUUGUCUCUUAGAUAGGUAUUUUGGAUAUCAUCAAAUUCUAAUUCACCCAGAUGAUUAAGGAAAAACCACCUUCACUUGCCCAUUCGGUACUUAUGCCUUCCAAAUGAUACCUUUUGGGUUAUGUAAUGCCCAUGCCACAUUCAUAAGGUGUAUGCCAUCUAUUUUUUAUUGAAAUGAUCGAGUAAGGGUUGGACAUAUUUAUUGAUGUAUUUUCUGUAUAUAGCGAUUCCUUUACUGAAUGCUUAGAAACCCUUGAGAAGGUCCUUGAGCAAUGUAAGGAAAUGAAUUUAGUCUUGGAUCGGGAAAAGUGCCAUUUCAUGGUUACGGAGGGCAUUGUCUUAAGGCAUUGGAUCUCAAAAAAGGGAUUAAAAGUUGACUAGGCAAAAAUUAAAGUUAUUGAAAAACUCCCACCCAUGUCUUCAUUGUGUGGAAUCCAUACUUUUCUGGGAAAUAUCAGCUUUUAUCGGUGUUUCAUGAAAGAAUUUUUGCACAUCUCCAAACCAUUGAGUCACCUUUUGCAGAAAGAUGUCCCAUUCAUCUUAGACGAAGAAUGUAAUAUUACUUUCGUUACCUUGAAGGAAAAAUUGGUAGUUGCCCCCAUCAUUUGUAACCUUAAUUGGAAUGAGUCAUUUGUUAUCAUGUGCGAUGCUAAUGAUUUUACUAUUAGGGUUGUGUUGGGUCAAAAGAAAAAAAGGUUUUCCAUGCUAUUCAUUAUGCUAGCAAAACUUUGAAUUCGACCUAGUGCAACUACACCACCACUAACAAAGAAAUGUUAGUCGUGGUAUUCGCAUGUGAGAAAUUUUGCCCAUAUUUAAUGAAAAAUAGGGUUUAUGUAUACACAGAUCAUUCAGCUCUCAAAUAUGUGAUGAAGAAAAAAGAAACAAAUGGUAGAUUAAUGAGAUGAGUAUUAUUGCUUCAAGAAUUCAAUUUGUGGAUACUGGACAGAAAUGGGACAAAAAAUCAAGUGGCGGACCAUUUAUCUCGUUUAGAGCACGAAUUUGACUAAAAGGAAAGUAGAGCAAUAGAUGACACCUUCGUUGAUGAACAACUAUUUCGCGUCGAUUGUUGCUUUGUAAGGAGAAAAAUGCCCUCAGCACCGUGGUACGCCGAUAUAGUGAAUUACCUCGUGCAAGGAAUUUUUCUAGUAGAAGCAUCUAGUUAACAGAAGAGGAAAAUAGGCCAUGACGCAUGAGAUUAUAUUUGGAAGGAACCUUAUGCCUUUCGACAAUGCACGAACCAAUUAAUAUGAAUGUGUGUAGCCGAGGAAUUGAUGGAAGAUAUCCUCAUAGGGUGUCAUACUUCUCCAUGUGGAGGCUACUUUGGUAGAAAUAGGAGAACUUAGAAAAUAUUGCAAUCUGGUUUUUAUUGGCCAACAAUGAUCUGCGGUGCUUCCGAAUUUUUCAAAAGAUGUGAUUGGUGUUAGGGAACUGGAAAGAUUUCCAAACGUGAUGAAAUGCCUCAGAAAGGUCUCGGCAUUCGAAGGUACGACACGAACACGACAUUCGAAGGGUCUCGGCUCGAUUUUAUUUAAUAUUUUAGAUUGUGUGUAGCCGAGGAAUUGAUGGAAGAUAUCCUCAUAGGGUGUCAUACUUCUCCAUGUGGAGGCUACUUUGGUAGAAAUAGGAAAACUUAGAAAAUAUUGCAAUCUGGUUUUUAUUGGCCAACAAUGAUCUGCGGUGCUUCCGAAUUUUUCAAAAGAUGUGAUUGGUGUUAGGGAACUGGAAACAUUUCCAAACGUGAUGAAAUGCCUCAGAAAGGUCUCGGCAUUCGAAGGUACGACACGAACACGACAUUCGAAAGGUCUCGGCUCGAUUUUGUUUAAUAUUUUAGAUGUAGUAUUUGAUAUUUUAUUUUUAUUUAAAGAUUGUAUUAUUUUAUUUUUAAUUAUGGCAUGAGACUUCAAGUUUGAUGUUUUAGUUUAUUUACAGCUUGCAUGACAUUUAAUUCAAUUUUAGGUUAUUUAAUUAUAAUUAUUAAAUAGUUAUACAUUAACCCCGAUUUUUGAUAAAAUCAUAAACAUAUAUCACUUUUCCCCUACUAAAUUAUAAUUAAAAAUUAAGUAUAAGAAUCCGGUAAUAAACGAUGUUUUCAAAAGUAAACUCUGUACCUAGGAUAGUAAAUUUAAAUUGUUUUCUUUCAAUUUAGGUAAGUUUUUCUUAAAAUAGACCAAGUUUUACUUCUAAAAUUAACUAACGAAUUUUAAAAUGACCGUUUUCAAAACUCCAAUAACUUGCUAAGCCAUUUCGGUGGCUAAUGUAAUAUUCCGAAUUUGGGGCUAACGUCUAGGCUGGGUUGAGGAGGUUACAUUUGGUGGUAUCAAAACCUAGAUUUUCUAAACUCGGGCUGAGGAAAUUUGUGUGAGUCUGUAUGCAUGCAUUAAAAAUGGGUAUUUUGAGAAAAAUCAUGCCACAAGUUUUUGAAAAAUUAAUUUUCUAUAGGAAAUUAAAUCCGAGAGUCCAAUGCCGGUCCUACUUCAGUUACUAUUAAAACUUUAGAUAAAUUGUAAACUUUAGAUUGUGAAACAUCUAGGAGGAUGAUUAAUGCUUGAACUUUUGUAUUACACUGUAGAUAUACUUUAACUUUUAAACUUUCGAAAAUAGAAUGAAUAUCCAAAAUAGACGUGAUAGAAGUAGGUUGCGUACGGCUACACCCGUAGAGUCACCCACUGUGUAGGGCGAGAGCCAAUUUUUGAGGAGGAGGGCUUCUAAACUUUUUUAUUUAAUGUGUUUACCAUAUAAUGGUGCUCGAUGUAUAUGGUGUUAAAUAAAGCAUUCCUACUUCUACUUUUAAAAUUCGAAGAAUAUUAGCUUUAAUUUAACCGGAAAACUUUUCUUCAUUUUCCAUGCAAGUUCGACUAAUUAAAAAGUUAAAGAAAAAUCAUCAUUUGUGAAAGCCUUUUCUAGCUUUGUUUCACAAAGUCAUUAUUAUUAAUCAACUAGAAAAGGAAGACAUACUUUAUUUUUUUGGCCACUUCUAAAGAUCAAAAUCAGCUCCCAAUUUUCACACUAAUUUCCACCGUAACAAUCAUUACCUACAUCUUGGGUUAUCUUGGAAUGUAGUGGUUGUCAAUUUUUUCAUGCUCUAAACCUCACAAGAGAGGGUUGGUGGGUAAUGUUUCUUGCUUUCUUUUGUAAUUUCAAUUAUAUCCCAUGAUUUAACUUUUCUUUUUCUUUUCAGAUUGGACAGAGUUUAUAUAGUCUAUUUUAUUAUUCCCUAUAAUUUAAUUUCAAUAAAAUGGAAAUUUUUCAUUAUUAUAAUGAAAUUUAGGUUGAGCCAAUAAGAGGGAGAACUAUAUAGGAAAGCUAGUGACCUUGGGCCCAAUAAUAUUGGAAAUUCUCCUUUGGCACAGAUGUUUUUAUAUAUUUAAAUGUUAAAUAAAUUAAAUUCACCUUUCACAGUUUCGAAAUCAUUUGUAUAUUAAAUAAAACUAAAGGUAUGUUUGGUAAUUGAAAAUUUAAGAACUAAAUUUAUUUGGUAAACUAAUAAAUAAAAUUCAAUAUAAUUGUGUUGUUUGAUAAAAGUAAAUAUUAAUUUUAAAAAUUAUUAAUUUUUUAAUUUUAAUCUUAUUAAUGUAAUAUUUUAUAUUAUGUUUGAUAUGUUUGGAUAAAGAUACAUAUGAAAAUUUGAAUAUCUCAUUUUUUUUUAAAAAGAUAAUUUAUUUUAAUUUUUUAAUAAAAUAAAAUCAAUUUAAUAUUUUCUAGGUUAACUGAUAAGUAGCUUAUUCAAUACUAUUUAAACAUUCAAACUUUUAUAUGAUUUAUCAAACACACACUAAAUUAUUUUAUAAUUUUUUUAUCCUUAUCUAUUAUUUAAUUGGUUUCUCAUAAAAGUAAGUUGGGAACAUAUUAAAUUACAUUCUUUUUUUUUUCAAAAUAUUAGCUUUUUCUAUUAGUUCAUUCAAAGAUGUUGAUGGUUUGGGUCCGACUUAAAUACAAUAUUAACACACAUUAUUUUUGUCCAAGCUCAACUUGAUUCGAAAUAUGAGCUUAAAAUUAACCUUGUCUAAAUCCGUCCAUAUUAUUUUUAAAAUUCUUUCGAAAAAUAUUUAUAUUUAUAUUAAUUUAAUUUAAUAUUUAAUAUUUAUAAUUAUUUAUUUAUUUAUUUGUAUAUAGGCAACUUAACUUCUUUUUUAAUGUUUACAUUAUAGUAUUAUAUAUUAUUAUAAAUUUAAUUUUUUAUGUUUUAUAAAUUAUAAAAUAUACUAUGUAAUAAACAUAGAAAACAGGUUGGAUUGAACUGGACUCGAGCUUCGACAUUUAAAGUCUAAUUGUUUUAAAAGGGCUUAAUUUUUUUUUGCCAAAACCCGCUUUUCUACUCUAACAUUUUUGCCCAAACCCUUUCAAAUUUCGAACAGUCCUUUGGACUUGGGUGGAUAGCUUAACCCAAGAAAAGGUCUAAUUUCUACUAAAUAUUUACUAUUUUUGUUGUAACCUCUCCAAUCCAGCCUAGACGCUAGACCCGAAUUUGGAAGAUUACAUUAGCCACCGAAAUAGCUUAGUAAGCUAUCAGAGUUUUGAAAACAAUUAUUUUAAAACAUUUGUUUAAUUUAAGUAGAAAACUUAGUUAAAUAACAAUUUAUUAUUCCCAAAAUUUUAAUUAUAAUUUAGCAGAAAAAAAAGUGAAAUUUUAUAUGCGUUUAAAAUAAAAAUCAGGGUUCGCGUAUAGGAAAUUAAUAAUCAUAUUUCAAUAUCCUAAAAAAACUUAAUGUCAUGUGAGCUAUAUAUAUAAGGAAAUAUCCAAAUCUUAAGUUCUAUGCCACAAUUCAAAAUAAAAUAUUACAAUCCUCGAAUAAUAAAAUAAAUCAUGUAAUGAACCUAAAAAAAUUGAAAUUAAAAAUCAAGACGAGACCCUCUAAAUGUCGCAUUCGUGUCUUAACCUGGUGGUUUAUCUGUAAGGAUAAAAAUUUAAGGGGGAGUGAGCUAUGACACUUAGUGUAAGUUCCCUCAAGAAAACCAGUGUAAAUUAUUAAACCAAAAAAUAAUAACAAUAUCCAGUACGGUAACAAUCAUUUAGUAUAACAAUAUUUUCAAAAGUUCAAGUCAUGCUUAUGCGUGUCGAUGCAAUACAAUACAAGUUUAGUUUAAUAGUAAAGAUAGGCUCUCCCCCACCACUACACUCCACAAUAAGAGUUCCCUAUAACUCUUAUAUCCUGGACACUCCAAUUUGUGGUUGAACCACAAGUGUUGUAGGUUAAUAUGUUGUUAGUGGUUGUGAAUAUACAGCUUGUUUGCAGAUAAUAGCUAUCAGUAAAAAUCGUGGACAAACCACUGAUGUUUGCAGGUUAAUAUACUACCAGUGGUUGUGAAUUCACAACGAGUUUGCAGAUAAAAGUAGCCAGUAAUUUGUGGAUAAACCACCAGUGUUUGUAGUUAAAACUGCUAGUACUUCCUCCUUUCAAAGUGUCCCAUCCCAUGCAAUGUAGUGUGACAUGCGAGCAUCAAUUCAGUAUAGAAACAGAUAACAUGUUUAACAUGUGUUUAUAUCAACAGUAGUAGUAGACAUGUUUGCCGUGCAUUUGGUUUAUCAAUACAAUAAGCAUGUUGUUUAUGCAAUCGGUAAUUCGGUGAUACGAGUAACAGUAACAAUUUAUCAAUAAUUUAGUUAUAGAAGGCAUGUAUUCAACACAUAUCAUGCAAAUCUAAUAAAUAAAAUCAUGGAUUCCACAUUAUUCAUAAUAUCAAGUAUUUAAUUGAAAAAGAUAGUAUACUAAUAAUUGUUCAGGAAUUAAUCAGAGAAGUAGGGGACAUACGACCGUGUGACCGGACCGUGUAGGAAGCCCUGAAACAUGUGGAAAGGUUACACAAUCAUGUGGCUAGGUCGUGUGACAGGCUGUGGUCAUAUGGAAUUUGUAAAAUCAACCUACACGAAAGACAUGAUUAUGUUGCAGGCCGUGUGAGAAUAAAAAAACCUAUGGUUUCAGGGGAACAUGAUCGUGUGAGGGGGUCGUGUGGUUCACACGGUUGGCCUACACACCCGUGUGACUGGCCGUGUAGCCCUAUUUCAAUGCACAAUUUGUCUCGAUUCGUUUGUAAAAGAACACAGACGAGGUCUCGAGCAACAUUCCUCACAUUCAAGUCUAUUCCGGGUACCUAAAUCGGGUCCUUCAAUAGAAAAGUACACUCAAAUUAACAAUUGAAUUAAGAUUUGUCAAGAUUUUCAAGAAUUUGGCAAGAAAUCAUAAAAUAUUUGAUUAAUCAAAUGAAAGACUUGUGUCGAGGCCAUGAUAUUACAAAUUAAGAAAUUCAUUUGAUGAAACGGAGACACUUACUGAUUCUUGGCAGGGUUUAAAGAUGCAAUUGACGAUGACACGCUAAAUCAAUAGAAAAACGAGCUAACAGAAAUCGAUUUUGAUUUGAGAGGAUGAAAAUAAUUUCAGUAAUGGAGAGCAAAUAUUGUGUAAAAGAGAUGAUAAACAAGAAAGGAAAGAGAAAUAGGGAAUAAGAGAAAAAAAUUCAAUUUUAAUUAGAAAAGAAAAUUUUAGGGGUUAAGUACUUAAAGUUUUCAAAUUUUAGGGGUUGUUUGGAUAAUUAACCUAUCUUGCCGAAAAUAAGAAGGGAAAUGGGGUGAAUGACAUGACUUGAAUUUGGGAUUCAAGGGAGAAAGGAAGUAAUGCUUAAUCAUUUGGGUUUCUACCCAUUCUUGUUAAGUGUCUACUCUAAAUAAUAUUUAUAUAAAACUUAGGAUUUCUAGGGAGUGUACUAACUAUAUAACCAUUAAGACUAAGUCAUUUUUGGGGUAUUUAUUUUAUCUAACCCUAUAUAUUUUAGGGUGUUACACUUGUACUCUUCUUAAUUGAAAAAUCGAAUAAUACUUUUUUUAUCCUAUUUCAAGCUAUUUUUUACUAAAAAAAUUAAAGAUAAACAAUUACUUUUUUUAUACAAUAUUAAAAAUAAAAGAUGAGAUAACACGGUUCAAAUCCGCAAAUACAUGAUACUAUUAAUAUCAACAUAAUUUUACAAUUUUGAUUUAAUUUUUAUAUUUGUAUUUAUGACGUUUUAUUUUUAUAUUAUAAAAUUGGUUUGAGAGUGCCAAUAGAGAAACUACCUAAAGAUAUAAAUAUCACGACUUUAGGCCUUCAUCCCCUUUUAAGGUGACAUUUGUUAUCUUAUUUAUUAUGGUAACGUCUUUUCACCCACUCACUUAUGCUAUAUUUUAAUGUUAAUUAAGUAUUACUGUUUUACUUUGUCCAUUUCAUUUCACCAAUUAUGCAUUUUUUCAAUGCGCAUAUCGAUUUUGUUUCAAAUUUUUUGAAAUUGUUACUAUCGAAUUUUUUUUUCUAAAUUUAACUUUUUUUUAUUUUAAAAUAAAAAUGGAGUCAUCACUAAUCUUUUUUAUUAGGUGUGAUUGGGUCAUCUCGAGAUUUAAUUAUUUUAAUAAAAGAUUACUUUUACUAAAACGAUGAUUUUCGGUCUACAAAAUUUGAGAAAUAGGUUCGGGAGUCGGUUACGUAUGAGGAAGAUUAACACCCUUAUAAUGCCCAAAAUUGGUACCUAGCUGAUUACUUGGUGUCUUAGCGUCAAAAAUUGAGAAUUUGAAGAGGAUUUAAAAUACAAUCCCUUUCAUAUGAUGUUAUUUGAUGGCAUUGAAAAUGUCUCUAUCUAAAUUGAAUUUUUUAUGAGGUUUUCUCAUUUUGGGUCGAUCAAGAGGAAAAGUCAUGUCCCGUAAGUUGGGGAACAAAAUCUCGAAUAAGAACACUCACCGUUUAAUUAUUGUCAAAAUCUUAUAUAUUUUUACUUAAUUUAUUUUAAAAAAGAGGAGGGAAGUUUGAUUAUUUCGGUUAAAGGAGAAUAUCAUACCCCGUAAGUUAGGAGUACAAUUUCUCAAAUCCUUAAUAUAAAGAACACUGCCUCGAUUCAAAUUACCAAAUAUAUGUCGUAUGAAAACGAGCAUAACAUUUAAUGAAAUAUGCGAUUAAUUUAUUCGAGUAUUGGUAUAAAAAUGAACAAAUAUUUAAAUGUGUUGUAUAGUAUGGUAGUGGCAAAAAUGGAAUAAAAUAGUUUACGUGGGUAAAAAAAUAAAGAUAAUAAAAUAAUAGAAAAAUUAGAAGUGGGAAUAAUUUUUAGUCGAUUAAUAAUACUAUUUAAUAAUGGUAAUAGUAGUAAAAUAAUAAGUGGAAUAUUAGCAAUGACAUAAAAGAGUAUAAUAAGCACUAAUAAUCAUUUAACAAUAACAUCAACAUUUAAAAAAUAAAAAUAAACUAAAAUGAAAUGAUCAAGAAACAUGAGGAUAAAAAUGCAAGUUACACAAAUUAAAGGGAAAAAAUAUAAACAAGGAAAUUAAAAAUGCUAGAAUAUUAAAUAACAAAAAGUAAAAGGGUGGGAUUAGAUAAAUAGGGGAUUAAAUUGAAACCAUAACAAAAUUUUAGGGCAUAAAUAAAUAAAACAGUAAACAAAGGGUCAGAUUAAAAGUGCAAUAAAGUUUAGGGACCAAAAGGGAAAAUAACCCAAACCCGGUACACUUCAUUCUCCAAAGGGUUGAUAGUUUAGGUGUAACGCCCUGAAUUAUUAUCUUUGUUUCUGUGAAUUUUAUUACAAAUAUGUAUCUGUUUUAAUGGUUACAUUAUUUGAAGGUGUGUGUGAGGUUUUGGGUUCAAGUCUCAUUUUUGGAAAAUUUUGUUAUUUUGGUCCUAUUCUUAUCCCUUUUAGGUGGGCUUAUGUUAUAAUUUCAGUAAACUCAUAUCAUAAUGAGCCUAUUGGUUCAGGUGGUUAAGUUUAGCUUGCUUUGAAGUCCCGUGUUUGAGUCGCUGUGUGAUCCUGAAUGUUAAUUUUUGCUUCGGUUGUGGUAUAGAAGUUGAAGGGUAGUGAAAUUCUGAGAUAGUUGAGUUGUUAGUGGAGUAGUGGGGGAUGUUGGGAUUAUGUGCUAAAAUUCUAAUUUAAUUUAAAUUUAUUUUUUCUCUUUCCCAAAAAACUUCUCCCCUUCUGACGUUCUUCUCUUCUCCUCUAUCAAAAAUUUCCUUUUCUUUUCUUCUUGAUUCUGUCAUAAUCUCCCUUUCAAAUCGCGGUGCUUCGAUUUUUCCUGUUUUUCGUAUGGCUUGGUAAGUAGUAGUUGAAAGGAUUUGCUCGAGUUAGGGGAGAAUUCUUUUAAAGCGGUUUUUCUUUUUAUCGAUUUUGUCUUUUUCAUUUGUAUUGAUUUUUAGGUUGUUGGCAACAACGAAUCAUGAGGAACGAAGCUCUCCUCUUGUGGGAACGUAGAAACGGGAUCAUUCGAGAAGUUGGGUAAAUGAUGAAUGCUUGAUUUUCACUAUAGUCAAUUCCUGUAAUUCGAUCAUUCAGGAAGUUGGGUAAGUGGCCUGUCAACGCCACACGAGUGUGUGCCCGGCCGUGUGCGACACACGGCCAUGUCAUAGGAGUAUGUGUGACAUUGUGGAUCACACGGGCUAGGCUAAAUUCUGGCCACACGCCCGUGUGGGCUGUGGGCUAGGCCACGUAGGCCAUACGGGUAAGGUUAAUUUGCACGUGUGGUCCUACAUGGGCAUUUGGGCCCAAAAUUUUGAAAUUUUCCCUAGGGUCACACAUGUUCCGAUCGACUGUGGACCUUUUAUAGGGUCAGUAAGGUAAAACAAACCCUAAUGCAUGAGAUCUGCUAUUCUGAUAGACUGAUUUGAGUUUAGGAAAAUUGAUAUGUAUGUUCGAUUGUCUUGUAUAAGCGUGUAUGAUAUUUGUAUACGAGUAUGUGGGUCUUGUUAAUUCUGUUAUAUUUGUAUUCUAUAUCUGUAUAUGGGGUGGGAUCUGUUUAUUGGAAGAAGUAUUCUGUGAGGCGAUAAUUCGCCAAUAUUCUGGCAGCAUAGCUGCAAAUUAUUCUAAUAAGUAUUGUGUGGAUACUAUGUGGCGUGUAGGGUUAGGUGGGUGUUUUAAAUCCCACAUGGUGUGUUGGAUGGUGGGGAGAUGGUAUGGAGAGGAUGGGGGUAGGACUUUGCAUAUCUGUAUGAUUCUAUUGAUUAGAUUUUGUUGAGAACUUAUGUCCAUAUAUGUAUAUGUUCUGUAUUUGGAAAAUCUGAGUGUAUGUGCAUGUAAGACUCUGUUUAGUCACACACAGUGUAUAUGAAAAUUCAAAUCUAUUUGUCUAGUAUGUGGUACACCGUGUGUUAGGCACUGUUCUUGUAAGUACUUCUAAACUUAGAAAUACUGUAGUUAGAAUUGCCUGAAAUUAUACUAAGUUAGAUAGAGAUUAAAACUUCUAGAAAACUUCUGAAAACUUCUGAUAAAUACUUGAAGCAUAACAUAUUUGCUAAUAAACACGAAAACGGAUGCAUAAAAUUUUAAAAUGUAGAUAAACUUCGAAACAAUGAGCGCUCGUGAAACACGUGGUCACAGUACUCGUGGGCGCGACGAGCACCGUAGGGGGACUUGAGCUGAGUCUUCCUUUUUUGGUAGUAUGCCAAAUCUCGAUACGAGCGAGACAGCAGUUUCACCUACUACCUAGACGGGGUCUCAAAACCGCUCGGUUGAUGACGACAUACUGUCUCAAGCCAUGUUGAGUGUUUUAUAAAGAGUCGCUAGACCCAUUAUGGAUCUGGGAGUUGUGGAUCGAUAACUGAAUGACUCCGGUCCAAUAGAGCUAAACUAUUUAGGGGUGUCAUUAGAGUUGCCUCUAUUGUGGCCGAAUACUGGUUAGAGGCCACCGAAAGAAUAAUGAACGACAUUGAUUGCACUCUUGAGCAAAGACUGAAGGGUGCAGUUUCUUUGCUUUGCGACGAGGCAUAUCAAUGGUGGUUAUUGGUUGAAGAGGGUACUCGGCCGGAUCGAAUUAGUUGGGAGUAUUUUAAUACUGCUUUUCAGAUGAAGUAUGUAGAAGCGAGUUAUAUGGAUGCUCGUAGACGUGAGUUCAUGAAUCUCACGCAAGGUGAUAGGAUUGUGACCGAGUAUGAGGCCGAAUUUCUAAGACUGAGCUGCUAUGUUAGAGGGAUUUUGGCAUCUGAGUACCAAAAGUGUUUCCACUUUGAGGAUGGGUUGAGGGACAGGUUGAGGGUUUUUAUAGCUCCACAGAGGGAGCGAGAGUUUGUCGUCUUUGUGGAUAAGGUGAAGAUCGCCUAAGAGGUUAAGCGUGUGGAGCGCCAGAAUAGGGAUUAUGAGAGAGGUAAGAAUAAGAGGGAUUCGAAGCCCCCUAAUUCUACUUAGAGGCCUAAGAAACGGGACAGACCUGAAGGGCCUUCUAGAGUGGGAGUUCUAGUUGCCCCUAUUGGGGUUCAUCCAUGCAGUGACAGUGGUAGGCGCCAUCCGAGCGAGUGUUGGAGGAGAUUAGGGGCAUGUUUGUGUUGUGGGUCAAUAUAUCAUCAGAUUAGAAAAUACCCACAGCGUUUCCAAGUUUUGUUCAGCCUCAGAGGGCAGUACAGCACCCACCUAAGGGUCGUGGUUCGACUAGAUGUGGUAAUGGUUUGGGCAAAGGAUAGAGAGCACUGGACAGAGGUGCUAAUCAGACUGAGGCGAGGUAGCCUACACUAGUUUAUGUUGCACGACGCCGAGAAGAUAAAGACGCCUUUUAAUAUGAUUACAGGUACGUUCAUUAUUUUUUAUGCUCCUUAUACUACUUUGAUUAAUAUAGGGCCAACACACUCCUAUAUAACUUUUUUUGUCUCUGGUAAUUCGAGAAUUUUUGUUAAGAGUACUUCGGGUGAGAUUUUUGUAUUGAGUCCGCUAUGUUGUUUAGGUAAAUAGACUGUAUAGGAAUAUGCCGUUAGAAGUUUAAGAGGUUAUGUUUUCGGCAAAUUUGAUGGAGCUACCGUUUGGAGGGUUCGAUUUAGUUCUAGAUAUGUACUGGCUAGUAUAGCACCGAGUCAAUUUGGAUUGCAUGAUAAAGAAGGUUGUUCUGAGAACCGAGAGAGAUGUAGAAGUUGUGGCGAUCGAUGAGCGUCAGGAGUACUUGUCUAACAUAAUCUCCGCUCUAGUGGUCUAGAGACUAGUUCAGAAAAGUGUGUAAGGCAUAUUUAGCUUUCAUAAGUGUUUUAGUUUCUGAGGACUCUUCUAUAGAGGAUAUCAGAAUAGUGAAGGAAUUUCUGGAUGUAUUUCCUGAUGAGUUACUGGGUUUACCUCCGAAUCAGGAACUUGAUUUUCACAUUGAGCUUCUACUGAGUACAGCUCCGGUGUCCAUCGCUCCAUAUCGAAUGUCAUUGAAUAAGCAUACGGAGCUUAAGGCUCAGCUUCAACAGCUUCUGGAUUGUGGGUUCAUUCGUCCUGAUGUGUCUCCAUGGAGGCAACGAUUUUGUUUGUAAAGAAAAAAGAUGGUACCACUAGGAUGUGUAUCGACUACUGGCAGUUGAAUAAGUUAACUGUGAAGAAUAAGUACCCAUUUUUGAGGAUCGAUGAUCUGUUUGAUCAGUUUCGUGGGGCUUCAGUAUUCUCGAAGAUAGAUAUCUAUUCUGGGUAUCAUCAAUUUAGAGUUAAGGAUGCUGAUAUUCAUAAGACGACUUUUAGGACUCGUUAUAGGCAUUAUGAGUUCUUAGUCAUGACCUUUGGUUUGACAAAUACUCCAGUGACAUUCAUGGAUCUGAUGAAUCGAGUUUUUCAGUCGUAUCUUGAUUUCUAGUGUACUCUAAAACAGAGGAUGAGCAUGGUGAGCAUCUUAGAGUAGUAUUUCAGAUACUGCGUGAGAAACAGCUCUAUGCUAAGUUGAGCAAGUGUGAGUUCUAGUUGCACGAAGCAAAACUUUUAAGCACGUGGUUUCUAUUGAGGGGGUCUGAGUUGAUCCUAGAAAUAUUGAGGCUAUAUUUAAUUGGAAUUAGCCUAAGAAUGUUUCUAAACUCCGUAGUUUUCAGGGUCUUGUGGGUUAUUAUCGGCAGUUUGUUGAAGGGUUCUCAUUGAUUGCAUCUCCUUUCACUAAGCUUCUGCGUAAGAAUAUUCCUUUUGUCUGGACUGAUGCAUAACAAUCGAGCUUUGAAAAGCUCAAGUCUGUUCUGACUCAGGCUCCUGUACUGAUACAGCAUGAAUCUGGUAAAGAGUUUGUGGUUUAUAGUAAUGAGUCGCAUAUCUGUUUAGGAUGUGUACUGAUGCAAGGUGGUAAAGUUGUAGUUUAUGCAUCCUGACAGCUUAAGUCACAGGAGGGGAACUAUCCGACACAUGAUAUCAAAUUAGUUGUAAUGGUGUUUUCUUUAAAGAUCUAAAGGCACUAUUUGUAUGUUGAGAGGUGUAUCAUCUACAGUGAUCACAAGAGCCUUAACCUCCUUACUUAAAAAGAGUUGAAUCUUAGGCAGCGUAGAUGGAUUGAGUUGCUCAAAGAUUACGACUGCACGAUAGAGUAUUAUCCCGGUAAAACCAAUGUGGUGGCCGAUGCUCUUAGUUAUAAAGCAAUGUCUGAAUUGAGGGCGAUGUUUGCUUGCCUAAGUCUAUUUGAGGAUGGUAGUCUGUUAGCCAAGUUGCAAGUCCAGCCGACUUGGAUUUAUCUUAUUCAGGAAAAGUAGUUGGAGGAUGAUUCUCUAGUUGUGCGUUUUCGUCAGGAUGAGAGUGGCAUUACGUCUGAUUUUGGGCCUAAUAAAAAUGAGGUUUUGUGUUUUUGAAGACGUGUUUGUGUACCAAACAACUCCGAUUUGAGACAGUCUAUUUUGAGAGAAGUGUAUAGUAGCCCUUAUGCUAUGCAUCCCGGUGGGAAUAAGAUGUAUCGAGAUCUCUGUGAACUAUUCUAGUGGCUGGGUUUGAAACAAGAGAUAACAUAUUUCAUUACUCGAUGUCUAACGUGCCAGCAAGUUAAAGUUGAGCACCAGUUGCCUUCGAGUUUGCUCCAACCUGUUAAGAUUCCAUUGUGGAAAUGAGAACGUGUGACUAUAGACUUUGUUAGUCGAUUGCCUUUAACACCUACUAAGAAGGAUUUUUGUGGGGUCAUUGUAGAUCGUUUGAGUAAGUCCGCCCAUUUCAUUCCUAUUCGGAUAGAUUAUUCUCUGCAGAAGUUGGCCAAGCUCUACAUUUUCGAGAUUGUGAGACUUCACGGGGUUCCAGUUUCGAUAAUUUAUGAUAGGAAUCUCGCUUCACUUCUCAGUUUUAAAAAAAACUUCAUGAAGCUCUGGGUUGGAGAUUGGACUUCAAUAUUGCGUUUCAUUCUCAGACCGAUGGUCAAUCUGAGAGUUUCAUUCAGAUACUGAAGGAUAUGCUUUAGAGUUGUGUGAUUAAUUUUUGAGAUAGUUGGGAGGAUUUUCUGCCUUUGACUGAGUUUGCCAACAACAAUAGUUUUCAGUCUAGCAUCCAUAUGGCACCUUACGAGGCUCUAAAUGGUCGUAAAUAUCAUACUCCGCUGUGUUGGACUGAGUUGGGUGAGCGACGGGUUUUGGGUUCUGAAUUGGUUUCUGAAACUGAGGACAAAGUCAGAUAAAUUUGAAAUCGUCUUAAGGCGGCUUCUGAUAGACAGAAGUCUUAUACAUAUCUAAAAAAAAGGGAUAUCGAGUACUCCGUGGAAGAAAGUUUUGAGGUUUGGACGUAAGGGCAAGUUGAGCUCUAGGUUUAUUGGGUCGUAUCGAAUUCUGAAGCGUAUGGGACUGGUCACUUAUCAGUUAGAGUUACAUCUAAAGGUAGACCAUAUUCAUGACAUAUUCCAAAUCUCUAUGUUGAGGCAGUAUCGAUCUGAUCUAUCUCACGUUGUUCUAGUUGAGAAAAUUGAGGUUAGAUUGAAUUUGACACUUGAGGAGGAGUCGGUACAGAUUUUGGAUUGAGACGUAAAGAUUUUGAAGAGGAAGUCUAUUUCAUUACUUAAGGUUCUGUCGCGGAAUCAUGGCACUGAGGAAUCCACGUGGGAACUUGAGGACUCGAUGCGUUAGCAGUAUCCUUAUUUGUUCUGAUCAGGUAAAUUUUGAGGCCGAAAUUUCUUUUAAGGGGUAGAGUUGUAACAACUUGAAUUAUUAUCUUUGUUUUUGCGAAUUUUGUUACAAAUAUGUAUUUGUUUCAGUGGUUACGUGAUUUGAAGGUGUGUAUAAAGUCUUGGGUUCAAGUCUCACUUUUGGAAAAUUCUAUUAUUUUGGUCCUAGUCUUAUCCCUUUUAGGGUGGGCUUAUGUUAUAAUUUCAGUAAACGCAUAUCAGAAUGAGCUUGCUGGUUUGAGUGGUAAGGUGUUACCUUACUUUAAGGUCUUAUGUUCAAGUCCCUAUGUGAUCAGAAAUGUUAAUUUUUGCUUCGGUUGUGGGAUAGAAGUUCGGGGGUAGUGAAAUUCUGAGGUAGUUGAGUUGUUAGUGGAGUAGUGAGGGAGGUUGGGAUUAUGUGCUAAAUUUCAAAUUUAAUUUAAUUUUAAUUUUUUUCUCUUUCCCAAAAAACUUAUCAUCUUCUGACGUUCUUCUAUUCUCCUUUGUCAAAAUUUUUUUUCUUUUCUUCUUGAUUUUGUCAGAAUUUUCCUUUCAAAUCGCGAUGCUUCGAUUUUUCCUGUUUGUCAUACGGCUUGGCAAGAAGUAGUUGAAAAUUUUUGCUCGGGUUAGGGGAAAAUUCUUUUAAAGUGGUUUUUCUUUUUAUCGAUGUUGUAUUUUUCGUUAGUAUUGAUUUUUGGGUUGUUGGCAGCAGCGAAUCGUGGGGAACGGAGCUCUCCUCUUGUGGAAACGUAGAAAUGGGAUCUUUCGGGAAGUUAGGUAAGUGAUGAACGUUUGAUUUUUACUGUAGUCAAUUCUUGUAAUUCGAUCUAAUUGAGGAGUAAGACUGAUUUUGAGGGCGUGUAUUGUGAUUUUUAGGUUCUAGUGGUCUCGGUAUUGCUUUCACGUCAGAAAUGAACUAGGUGCAUAAUGAAAACACGAGAAAAUGAGUUUCGGUGAAAGCCAAAAAAGUGGUAUGUCGGUGCCACAGGGGCAUAUGCCCGGUCGUGUGGUCGAUCGUGUGUAACACACGGUUGUGUGACGAGAGUAUGUGUGGUCGUGUGGAUCACACGAGCUAGGCCGAAUUGGGUGUGUGGGCUACACGGGUAUGUGGGCCCACAAGAGCAUGCCAUACGAUCGUGUGGGCUGUGUGCCAGGCCAUGUAGGCCAUGUGGACAAGGUUAAUUUGGGCGUGUGGGCCCAUACAGGCAUGUGAGCCCAAAAUUCUAAAAUUUUUUCUAGGGUCACACACGUCGUUUCGAUUGAUCGUAGGCCUUCUGUAGAGUCGGUAAGGCAAAACAAACCCUAAUGUAUGAGAUCUACUAUUUCGAUAGAAUGAUUUGAGUUUAGGAAACCGAUAUGUAUGUUCGACUAUCUUGUAUAUGCAUGUAUAAUAUUUGUAUACGAGUAUACGGGUCAUGUUAAUUUUAUUAUAUCUGUAUAUCUGUAUUCUGUAUCUAUAUAUGGGGUGGGAUCUUUUUAUUGGAGAAAUUAUUCAGUAAGGCAAUAAUUCACCAAUAUUCUGGUAGCACUGCAUAUUAUUCUAAUAAGUGUCGUAUAGACAUUAUAUGGUUUGUAGGGUUGGGUGGGUGUUUUAAACCCCACAUGGUGUGUUGGGAUGGUUGGAGAUGGUGUGUAGAGGAUAGGGGUAGGACUUUGCAUAUCUGUAUGAUUCUAUUGAUCUGAUUCUAUUGAGGACUUAUGUUCGUAUCUGUUCUUUAUUUGAAAAUUAUGAGCAUGUGCAUGUAAGACUCUGUUUAGUCACACACUGAGUUUAUGAAAACUCACAUUUGUUUGCCUGUUAUGUUCAGGUAAUCCUCAAUCAUAGGCGGGUCAGUACGACGGAGUCUCAGCGGUGACCACUAGUUCGCGUAGUGGUUUAAUUAAUAGUUUUAUUUUAAAUUCUAGAUUAUUUUCAGAGUUUGUAAUUUUUGGGACUCUCUAGACUGUUUGUUUAUAAUUUUGGUUUUGGAUGCAUUUUGACUUUUAAACUGCUACAUUUGGCAAACAACGAUUUUACGCAACAAAUGUUUUUGAAAAUACAAGUUCAGAUUUUAAAAACAACUUUCAAACUUUCGCUGCAAAUGCUACGUUUUACUUAAAAAGACAGACAAUUGUCGGUUUUAUAAAAGAGUUUAAUAAUACGUUUUUCUAAAACAUUGACGCUAAUAGUAACAAUUAAUACGAGAAAUUUCAACUUAAGAUUGAUUUUAAAACCUUUCUUCGUAACAUUUCCAGAUUCGGUCAUAACGUCUAGGUAGGGUUUGGGGUGUUACACUAGGGACUAAAAUAAAACAAUUCCAAAUUAAGUGGUGUAACUUAAAAAAAAGAAAAAGAAAAGAAUUAGGACCAUAUUCAAAAGUGCUUAAAGGCGGAAGGACUAAGGCAACAAUUAGACCCCUUCCACAAAAACAUGCAGAUCCCAAGGGAUCCGGAUCGGGUCAUCUGGUCAGCCAUCAAAACAACGUCGUUUUAGGGGGUUAUAUAAAUUAAAAAACUCCCAAAAAAUCAUUUGGUUUUAGUUUUUUUUCAUAUCCCUUUUUCUUUUUUUUCUCUGAAAUCCCCUCUCUUUUUCCAACCACAAGGCUGUCAUACAUCGCCGCGGCCAAUGGUCAUCGGCGACAGAGACCGCCCCUUCCAGUGGCCGAAAAUCGCAAAAAAAAUCCCCUUUGAAACCCCAUGAAACCCUAGAGACAUAUCUAGGGUUAAAACAAUAAUAAAAAAAUAUUAGAGGAAAAGAAGAAGCAACCUUUCAAUUUCUACCCUCUCUGACAAGACCUUAACAAAACCCUAAAUAGUUCUAAGGCUUCUCAAGUCAGAGAUGCUUCUCGGCGACCGCAAAAACAGUUAAAAAUUUAUUUCUUUUGUUUUCUUUUUUUUUAUUAUAUUUGCUUCGAAAUAAAAAAGAAAAAUAAAAGAGUUAUCUUUCAAACUUUGUUCUUUUUUUUUGUAUUCUAUAUGAUUUCUUGUACAAAAAUAAAGAAUGUUUGUGUUUAGCUUUUAUAGCCGAAUAAAAAUACAAUUUUAAUUUUUUCUUUGUUUUUCUUUCGUUCUUUUUUGUUUGUUCCCUAUUUCUGUUUUGUUUCCAUAUUUUCUGCUUUUUGUCUUCUUUCUUUUUUUACAGGUGGUGGUGACAAAGGGCGAAUAUUAUUAAGCAAAGCCCAUGAUUCAUGUCUAAGACCUUUUAUAUCUAAGGGUAAACUACCAAAAUAGUCAUUUCUGUUUGUCUCAGAUUACAUUUUAGUUACUUAUGUUUGAAAUGUUACAUUUUAGUCACUUACGUUAUUGUGUUGUAGCAUUUUAAUAUUGAACGUUAAUUGUCGUUAACGGUGUAAUAGUAAGGUAAUGUGGCACGUUAAAUCGUCAUUUCAAACAAAAAUUUUAGGUUAAAUUAUACAAUUGGUACCUAUAUUUUUAUCGUUUUGAGCAAUUUAAUUUUUUUUCUUAAUUUUCCAUUCUCUUCUCCUUGUUUCUCUGUUUUCAUCCCUUCUCCAUUUAUUUUAACAUAGUUUUUCUAUAUUUUCCAUUUAUUAAAACUAGCCCUUAUACUUUUAUUUUUUAAACAAUUUAAUUUUUUUUAUUUUCCUUUUCCUCUUCCCUUUUGUUUUUCUCUCUUCUCAUAUUCUUCACCACAAAAAUAUAAUCUUUACCAACCAAACAAACCAAGUCUUUAUUUCUUUCACGUGAUUCCUAAAUUGAAUUUUAUUGAAAACCGAAUAUCAAUAAUUCUUAAUCAAAUCUUGAUUUGAAUAAAACUUAAUUUCGAAACUAAAAUUGGAUUUAACUAAUCAAUAUAAAAAAUCAUAUCCUUAAUCAAAUCUAAACAUAAAUUGAAUUCUUUAUAUUCAAAAUUAAUUUUUUCUGUUUCCAAACUUUUACAGAAUCAUGUAGAUUAUUCCUUUCAUUUCCUUUCCUUUUAUUUUAUAAUGACUAAAAUUAAGCAAACGACAAAAUUGAUCUAAAUCUUCUUGGAUAUUCCCAAGCAAGCUUGAUUGGAAGCUGAGCAUGGAUGAACCGAAGAGAGGGAGCAUGGUACCAAACUGGUUUGGGUAAAGUUGAGGGUAAGUUUCGUAUGGUGGUCAUUUUAGUCAUUAAGAGUGUAGAGCUCAUUUGAAGCAUCCGAGAAAUAACGUAAUUUCGAGAGGGAGAGAAUGUUGUAGGUAAGAUAAAUAAGGUGGUCGUAGGGGUUGGUUAGGAGGUUAAGGGUGCAGGCUCACAAAACUUUGUUGAGGGUGGACUACCAUAAGUCACGACUGAUGAGGUCUUCGAGUGAGGCGAGCUUGUGUGUUAGGUCAUUAAGAGAUCUAAAUUGGUUCAUUAAAGCGACGAUGGACGAUGGACAAUAAGGGUUUGUAAUUGUGGGGUGAGCAUAUGUGAAACAAGUUUUAUUUUGGUUUUAACUUUUGCCUUUUCUUUUUUCAUAAACAUAAAAAAAUUUUAACAAAUGGAAAUGAGAUGGACAAUGGAGGAAAACAGAGAGAAAAGCAGAAAAGAAUGAAAAAAAAAAGAAAAAAAGAAAAGUUAAAAGAACAUAAAAGAACAAAAUAAAUUGCUCAACACGAAAAAAACAUGGGAACUAAUUGUAUAAUUUAACUUAAAAUUUUGUUUGAAGUGAUGAUUUAACAUGCCACGUCAGCUUACUGUUACACCGUUAACAACAAUUAACGGCUCAGUGACUAAAAUGUUACAACAUGUUAACAUAAGUGACUAAAACGUAACAUUUCAAGCAUAAGUGACUAAAAUGUAACCUAUAGUAAACAAAAACGUCUAUUUUAAUAGGUUACCCUCUAUCUAAAAGAUAAGUGAAGGGGUUAUUUGCAACAUAAACCUCAUCAGUCUUUUUAUAAGGCUUUUCGCCUUUUCUAUUCACUAAUUUAAUCUUAUUUUACAAUUAUUAUUAUUUAAAAACUAACUUAAAAAUAUUAUCUACACUAGUUCAUAUAUAUUAUCAAUUUCUUACUAAAAAUAGGUCUUAUUGUUUUCCUUUUUUAUUUAUAAAAUAUUACUUCUCUUAAAUUAACAUAAACAUUUUAAUUUCUAUGAUAUUAGUACUUAACAUAUAACUCCAAUUAAUUAAUUGAUAAAUUUCAUUACUAUAUUUAAUUUUUAACUAAUACAUAUUAAAAUAUAUAUUUUGUAAUUUAAAUUAAACAUUAAAAUCUUAACUAAUAUAUAUUAAAAAUUGCAUUUAUUUUCAGGCAUAAAAUGUAAAUUAAUACAUUUUGAAAUUUUAAAUUAAUUAAUUAAUUUUAUAAUACAUGAUGUUCAAUAAACCUAAUUAGAAUAAAUAAUAAAUACUACUAUUAUUUUAGCAUUGUUCUAUAAAAAUUAAUUAAGUUUUUGUUAAUAAUCGUUUAAAAAUUUUACUGUCAAAGUUUAUUAACUUUUAUUUAAUAUUUUUUAAUAAUACACUUUUGUUUUCUCUUUAAAAAUUUUAAACAAUAUGCAUUCAUCAUUUGACAUUAAAUAUAUUUUCACAUUAUUUUAAAUAUUAAAUUUCUUAUUCUUAGCUUAUAUUGAUAAUAAAACAAAUAGUAAAGAUUCUAAAACUUAAAUUUUUAUAUUAUUUUGUUUUUACUUUCUCAAUCAUAAUAUUUUUAAAGCAUUCUACAUUUUUAAAAAAUAAAUACAAUAUAUUUAUAUUUAUACAUAUAAUCAAACUAGUGGAUAACAAAAAUUGGUAUGAUUUAUUUUAUAAAAUCUUUAAAAUUUAAAGCUAAUCAAAUUGAAAUAUUUAAAAUACAUGAAACCUGUUACUCAUUUAAGGUUGCACACAUGUAAAAAAUAGUUUAUUCAAUAAAGUUAUUUGGAUUUUAGAAAUAAUUUUAAGUGACAUAUUUUUUUUGAUUAAAAGUACUGGGUUGUAUUAAUAACAUUAAUCCAACGAAGUCCAAAAAACUAACAAAGCCCAAUCCAAAAACAAAAAGCUAAAACAGUAUCAGAAAUGAAACCAAAGCAAAACGAAGCGUCAAAAGUGAAAAAAAAAAAAAAAAAAAACAACCCAACCUCAUGAGCUGUCAUCUAGAGAAAUCUAAAAAUAUCUAAACCUCAACAAACUAGCUCCAAGAGAAGACAAACUGACAGAAUUCUAAUCGGUUCAAUUUCUUCUCGCAAAACCACACAUCCAUUUUGAAAUUUGACUCAGUUACAAACUUUAUCUCCAUCCACGAUCGAUUUCCAAUUCGGUGAUUUCUUAACCAACAUCUCCAUUAACAAGGUACGCACUUGUCCCCAUUUUUAAACCUUCAGUUGCCAAACAAUGAGCAGAUUCGUUUGCUAGUCAUCUUGCAUGUUGAAACUUACAGCCAUUAAAACCCUCACUUAGAUUUUUAACAUCAGGAAUGUAAGGUCCUAUUACCGAUUUGCCCCUCUACGUAUUUUGGACUUUCUUGAUUAUCGUCAAACAAUCCCUUUCAAUCUCAGCAUGCGUGAUCCCCAAAUCUCUACCCACAGUAACUGCCUGCACGCAAGCGAUGGCCUCAUGAAUAUACUGUUUAAUGAACUUUACUGUCUCUGCUCUAGAUUUCUUUCUCCCCUUAUGAAUCCAUCGAUUUCUGCUAGUCCAGAUAGCCCAAAUAGCACAAACAAAUAUUCGACACACAUCCACCCUACUGUUUAGAAAAACCUAGGUAAACCAAUCCAUAAACUCAAGUUGUGACAUUUCUUGUGACCAGACAUAAUCUAUAUUUUCCCAUGUCUCUUUUGUAACAGAACAAUCACAAAAAAUGUGUUUCCUUUUUUCCAACCUUUGCAUAUAUCUUGGGCAAACAACCUCAGUAGUUAAUUUUUUUGCUCGAAGAUUCACUAGAGUAGGAAGAUAAUUGAAAGUAGUUUCCCAAGCUGUAAUUUUAUUUUAGAAGGAAGAUCUAGGUUCCAAAGUUUCCUGUAGCAGCUUGUAUUGUCAACGGGGUUGUAAUUAUUUGGGUUAUUGAAGUAACUUAUAGUCGCUACGCACCAUGAACUCACCCGUCGACUCGCCCCUCCACACCAUAAAAUCAUCAUGAGGAAAUUUUUCUACAGGAAUUUGUAAGAUCAUCCGUGCAUCACUAUCAGAAAAGGUACUAAGAACCAAUCCAAUUCUCCAUGAUCUAGUAUCACAGUCAGUUAGAUCCACAACUCUCGUUGUAACAGCCUGUUUUCAAUAAAAUCGGAACAGUAGUUUUAGGACCAUAAAUCUAAUGUGUAAAUAUUUGUUUUAUUAUUUUAAUGUCUAUAGCAUGUUAGUAUUACCGUAUAAAAAUUUCGUUAAGAAAUUUUACCGUUUGCAUGCUUAAUUCGAUAAAAAAGAUUUAAAUCGCAUAUAGUGCAAAAGUUGAGUUCUAGUAGCUAAAGGUAUUAAAUGGCUAUAGAACCUUAAAGUAUGAGUCCUUAUGUGGUAAUUAAACCAUAAAUGAAGUUAGUGGAUAUACAUGGCUUGGUAUUAGUAGAAAUUUUAAUGUUUUAAAAGGUUAUAAAAGUAAUUAGGUAAAUAAUGAUUAAUAAAAUAAAAUAAAAUAAGGUUAUCAUCUUUUUCCAUCAUCUUCAACCGAAAAUUAGGGCUAAGAAAGCCAUUGAAGAGCUUUAGCAUUCGAUCAUCUCUCCUUGCUUGUGUGGUAAGAUUUUUCGUCCCGAUUUUAAUGAUUUUUAUUUUUUCAAGAUCGUUGUAACUAAUUUGUAAAACUGUUAAAAGAGUAGAGUUUUGUCAUGAAUGAAUAAAGGUUGGUUUUGAUGUUUGAUGGAAGAAAAUGGAUAGUUGUUAGAUAAAAAAACUUUUGUUAUGUGAUUUUUUAUGAAAUUGUAAUUUAGGGAUUAAAUUGAAAAAUUGAAAAAUAUACAUGGUAAAAUAGUGAAAUAAAUAAAAUGUAGGGCUUUCUAGCGACCUAUAUGAAAUUUGACUAUGGUGGGUUAAUGAAAAAUUUCAUGAAUUUCAUUUUAUGAGCUAGGGACUAAAUUGAAAUAAAAUUAAAAUUAUAGGGGUAAAAAUAUAAUUUUGCUAAAAUAUGAUUUUGGAAUGAAUUGAAUAGAGUAAAUAUUAAAUUGAGUUGAAUUUAUUCGUUUAGAUCAAGACAAUCCUCGUAUGGCUAUAGAUCAAUGCAAAGAUAAAAUUUUGGAAUAAUCGCCCCCGUAUCUACGUUUAAUCGUUGAGGUAAGUUCGUAUAAUUAUAUUGCAUUUAUAUGUCUUAUGUUGAAAUAUAUAUAUGUACCAUGGACUGUUAUUUAUUAAUUUGUCGCAUAUCCAACAAUGUUACGUCGACUACCGAGCCCCGUUUGAACCUUAGGAAUUCGUAGGAUACAAAUGACAUGUUAUUAUGGUUUACAUGAUUCAAGUGUUGGUCUUGAAUGUCCUAUCGAUGGUUGAGGUCUGGCAUGUGUUGCGGAUACUCCAUAGCUCGUGAGCAGCAUCGUGUAGCUACAUUUCGACCUACAGCUCGUGUGAGCAGGCCUGUUUUCAUAGCUCGUGAAAGCGUACUUAUUUACAGCUCGUGUGAGCAUACAUGUAUAGGAGUUGACGGAUUACAGUUAUAUGAGUUAGCAAACUUUGUGUGUGAGCUAUCCCAGGUAUCCAACUAUAUUCUAAACGGUUCAAUAGGCAUGACCUGUAAGAAAUGGUAAGAGUUCGAUACGAACUAAGAUAUGAACAAGUGUGAAUUGUGUUGAAUUUGUGAUACAUGAAUUAACGAAAGUUGAGAUGGAUGAUAUUUGUAUUGUUACAUGAUUAAGUGUUCUGAUCAUCCAUAAGUAAAUUACUUAUGUUUUAUGCUUAUAUGGCUAACAUGUUUGGUGUAAAUGCUUAGGCUUUGGCCAAGUUGUGGUUGGAUUAUGCCAUGUUUAACUUAUUUAUCAUGUAAUGAAAUGGUAAGUUGAGUUUUACAUUAUACGAACUUACUAAGCAUUUAUGCUUACUCUGUGUUAUUAAUUUUUUUCAUGUUUCAAAGUGAAUCGGAAGCUUGUUCGAGUUGGAAGCUUGUCGGAGUUAUAUCACACUAUCCAUCGGCUAAAUCAGCAGAUUUUGGUGUUUUUAAGUUUGGUUAUAAUGGCAUGUACAAGAGUUUUUUUUUUAUAAUGUAGUCAUUUGUGUUGGCUUGUGUUUAUGGCAUUUUUUGUGAUGAAAUGGUACUAAUUUUGACAUGUAUAUAUUUGGCCUUAAAAUGGUUAAUAUCAUGGGUUGGGAUGCUUGAAUGAUUGAAGAUGGAAUGGUAGUUAAAAAUGUAUGUUAUAAAUGGUCUUAGGAUGUGUUUGAAUGUGGUGAUUUGGUAUAUUUGUUAUAGAUGACAUAUAUGGCUGGUGGUGCUAGAUGUUAAAUGGCAUAUUUGGCACUUUUGGUGUGAAUUUUGAUAGGUAAACAAAGUGGUAAGUUUUGACAUAAACUUAGUUAUAAGUUAGUUGAACUUUUGGCCAGAUUUUGCAAACGGUUAUACAUGUCUAACUGCUGUGAUUGAAAUGCCUUUUGGGCAUAUUGGUUGUAUGCUUAUGUACCUUAUUUGGAUAGCUUAAUUAUACAUGUUUUUAGUGAAAUUUGAUGGCUUUCUUAUAUGUGGAAAAUUGAAUGUAGGUAUAUGCAUGAAUGGGUGAAAAAAAUGACUUGGAAAUGACCUAUUUUUCGUCCAAACGGCUAAAGACACGGGCGUGUGCCUCAGCGGUGUGUGACACACGGCUAGGCGACAUGGCCAUGUGCCCCCUAUAGCUUACAAAAGGUUUCAAGUUAGGUUGUUACAUGACCUAGCACACGGCCUGGCACACGGGCGUGUGAGUCCAUUACGAAGGGUACACGGCUUGACACACAGGCGUGUGGCUUGGUCGUGUGACCCAAGUCAGAGAGUUACACGGGUUGGGACACGGCCAUGUGUCCCUACUUUGAAUGUCCACACAACCUGUGCGUGAGUCUCAACCAUGUGAGUCACAUGGCUGUGUGACCCCUGCAGUUUGAAAAUUUUCAUUUUUUUCUGAAAAAUUUUAUAUGUUUCCAAUUUAGUCUCGACUUCUUUCUUAUGUGUUUUUAGGGCCCCGAGGGCUUAUAUAAGGGACAGUAUGCAUGUUAUUGAUUGUUUUUGCUAUGAUUAAUGAUAUUAAUUAAAAUGUUUAAAAAAAUUUAUUACUUUGGAAUGAAAACUCCGGUAAUACUCUGUAAUGUUAUUUCGAUGAAGGAUACGAGUUAGGGGUGUUACACUCGUAAUAUUUGGCCUGCUAAUAGUUUGUGUUAUCUUGAUACCUUCAGCUUCUAGAACCCAAACAUCUUCCUCAAAUUUGAUGUCUCUGCCAAUCCUCACCCUCCAACAAAGUCUAAACAACAGAAGGCCUUUCGCAGCCCAUAUACUUUUCCAAGUAUAUGCAGGUAUAUUUCCUAACUCUAAAUGUAAGAAAUCAAAAUUUGGAUGAUAUUUAACUUUCAAAGUUCUGCCUAAAAGAGAAUUAGGAUUAACAAUUAAUCUCCAACCUUGCUUCGCAAGAAGGGCCAAAUUGAAUUUUGCUAAAUAACGAUAAUCGAGAUCGCCAUUCUCUUUCAACUCGCAAAGUUUCUUCCAUUCACACCAGUGAAUACCAUGCCUCCCAUGACCUUUUUACCACUAGAAGUUUGCCAUUAUUUGCUCCAUCUCCUCACAAAUCGAUUUCGGCAAUAAGAAGCAUGCCAUCGUAUAAGUCGGUAUCGCCUAUAGCACAACUUUUAUGAAAACCUCUUUUCGCCUUUGCGAUAGAAAAAAAGUACUCCAAUUGUCAAUAUUCAUUUUGAUACGGUCUUUUAAAUGUUGAAAAGCCAAACGUCUCCCUCUACCCACCAUAUUUGACAAGCCCAAAUAUUUUUCAGAAUUAUUUGAUCCUAUCAGAAAUGGAAAUUCGAACAUUGUCUAAAGUAUUUGAACUAAAAACCACUGUUUAUUUCCAUAAUUAACACAUUGACCUAAACAGACUUCGUACUCCUUCAAAAUAUUUUCAAAGGUUUCAGUACCCUUAUCAAUCGCCUCCCCGAACAAAAUACAAUCAUCAGCAAAAAGAAGAUAAGAAAUCUGAGGUCCCCUUCUACUCACCCUAACCCCUCUCAAAUUCCCUUCCUCGCUUGCAAGCCUUAUAAGGGUUGAAAGCCCCUCACUGCAAAUAAGGAACAGAAAGGGUCUUAAGCGAUCUCCUUGACGCAAACCCCUCUCUCGGAUAAAAUUCUUCCUCGCGAUACCGUUUAGAUUGAUCGAAUACGAAACAGUACUAAUACAUUGCAUGAUGAAGCCAACCCACGAAUCAGUAAAACCAAUUUUACUCAUCAUCUGUUUCAAAAUAUCUCAUUCAACCCGAUCAUACGCCUUGCUCAUAUCAAUCUUGAGUGCCAUAAGACUUUUAUUUCCCACUCUUUUAUUUCAUAAAGUAUGAAGAAUUUCAUAGGUAAGAACCGCAUUAUCAGUGAUUAAUAUUCCCGAAACAAAAGUACACUGAGCUGGAUUAAUACAAAGAUCAAGUACCUUUUGAAAUCUAUUUGCCACUACUUUAGAAAUGACUUUAUAUAACACUAUACAACGACUAAUUGGUCCAAAAUUCAUAAGAUUUCUCAGAUGUGCAGUCUUCAGGAUUAAACCAAUGUUUGUGUGAUUCAAAGAUUGUAAAGACAUACCCUCAUUAAGAAUAUUCAAACAAUAAUUGCUUACCUCCCUUCUAAUAACGUACCAAAAUUUUUGGAAAAACAUGGCUGAAAACCCAUCAGGACUUGAUGCUUUGGUCGGCUCUAUACUAUUAAGCGCAUUAAUAAUUCCUUCCUCCUUGUAUCUGGCUGUUAGCAUCUGGUUCAUACUAUCAUUGGUACGACACUUAACCUUUGAAAGAAGAUGAUUCGUAUCCCCAACACCUUGCAAUGAAAAGAGCCCCAAUAAGUAAUCUUUUGUAAUGGCCUUUAGUUCUUCAUCUUCUAUUUUUAAAACACCUUCGUCAUUCUCUAGCCCCCGGAUUUUAUUCAAUCUAUGUCUUUGAGAUGCUUGACUAUAAAAAAACGUCGUAUUUUUGUCCCUUAGUUGAGUGGGCUUAUAUAGAAUUGUUUGUUAAUCCAUGUCAGAAUGAGCUUGCUGGAUCGAGUGGUAAGGGAGUUAGUAUGUUAGAGGUCUUGUGUUCGAGUGCCUGUUCGAGUGUGGAUGUUAUUUUUGCUCGGUUGCAUGUUAGAGUUUCGGUGGAGUUGGCAUUAUAGGGUAGUUGAGAUUGAGUUGUUAGUGGAGAGUUGGGAUUUAUCAAAUAUAUUUUAUUUUUAUUUUUUAAAGAAAUUUUCUCUCUUUCGAAAAGUUUUUCUCCCUUAGUUGAGAUUGAAUUUUCUUUUCCUCUCUUUUUAGUUCACUGCCAAUUUUUUUUCUCUUCUUUUUCAAUUUCGUCACAUUAUCUUUUGCACAAUUCAUCGUGUCUCGAUAUUUUGGUGUUCUUUGUGUGUUUCUAGUAACUGUGGUAAGUGUGAUUAUUGUUUUGGUUAAUAAAUCUUUGGUUAAUGGGGUCUGUUUUGUGCUUAGGAGAAGAUCAAGGGGUUGGGGGCUUUCAAUCGGUGCUAUAGUUGUGCAAAAUCACUGUUGCUCAUUCGAAGGUAAGGGUUUUGGUGGAUUAAAAGAUUUUGCAUUUCAAUGUAGCUUCGUUUUAGUAUUGAUUUAAGUGAUUAAUUUAAUGAUUUAUUGGUCAAUUUUAGGUGGUGUGUGACUUUGGAGUGUUUUUACAUCGAAACCGUAACAGUUGUGUUCCUAAAACGUAAAAAAUUAAGUUUUGGCGAAAGCUGAAAAAUUAUUCUAUGGAUGCCACAAGGGCAUGUGCCUGGCAGUGUAGUUGGCCUUGUGCAAGACACUAUCGUGUGUUUGACGAAGGUGCCCUCAUGCUCAAGGUACGGUCGUGUGAUGGUGUGAGUGUAACCGUGUGGGCCACACAAGCUAGGCCAUAUUGGGCGUGUGGGCCCACACGAGCAUGCCACACGGACGUAUGAGUUUUGGGCCAGGCCAUAUGGGCCACACGAGUAAGCCCAAUCUGGGAGUGUGGGUCGUACGGAUCGCUCCGAUCGACUAUGGGCCUACCAUAGGGUCGGUAAAGGCUAACCAAACCUUAAGUUAUGUGAUCUGAUAUUCUGAUAGUCUAUCUUGAGUAGGACACCGUUAUGCAUGUCUGAUUAUUCUAUUAUAUAUAUGUUAUUUGUAUGCGACUUUCACCUAUAUUCUAGCAGCUUGACUGUAUUCUAUCUGUUGUGUGUCGUAAUGACACUAUAUAGUGUGUAGGGAUGGUGGGUGUUGUUAACCCCACAUGGUGUGAUGGGAUGGUCGGAGAUGGUGUGUAGAGGCUGGAGGUAGGAUUCUGUAUAUUUGAUUCUGUUAUCUGUAUCUGAAAUGGACUUAAGCCCGAAUUUGUAUUUGACUGUAUAUGAGAUUUCUGUAUGUAUUGCAUGAUAUUUCUGUUGGGCUACACACUGAGUUUGUGAAAAAUCACUACUAUUUGUUUGUUCUGUUCAGGUAAUCCACAGACUGAGGCGGAUCCGUGCGGCAGAGUCUCACGGUGACCACAAGUUUGCGAACUAUUUUUAAAUUAGUGGUUUUUGUUUAAUUAUGGAUUAUUUCUGGGAGUUUUGUAAUUAAGGGACUCUCCGGACUAUUUGGUUUUAUUUUGGAUUUGGAUUUUCGAAUUAACACUUCAUUUGCGACGGUUGGUUAAAAAUGUGGUUUUUACUAAACAAAGGUUUUUCCAAAAAUACGAAUGAAAUUUUUAAAUAUAACGAUUUCUAAGACUUCCGGUGUAAAUUAUGUUUUGGCAAAUAAAUUAAUUAAAUAACUUUUUAUGUAAUAGUUAUAAAACUUGGUUGAUUUAUUGAAACGAUUUUGAUUUCAAAAUCCUUCAUCGUAACAUUAUCAGAUUCGGGCAUAAUGUCCAGGCCAGGUUUGGGGUGUUACAAUCCCCCUCACUAAUUUCUACAUCAAGGUGAUUAUUGGAAAAGCUACAAAAUUAAACUAAAUAAUUCCUAUUCCAUGCAAGGCUUAAAUUUCUUCUAGAACUAUUAGCUGAAACAUCCAGCCCAUUUUGAAAGCCACAACAUUUUCUAACAUGCUCCAUUCUAAUACAAUCUAGCUUUGUCUCCAUAAAGAAGACUAAUUGGGCUCUAUGAAGCUUCAACGUUUAUUGAAGCCUACGAAUAGCCCGAGGAUUUCCCAGUCCCUGGACAUUCCAACUUAGGAACUUUAUUUCUUUCGAUUGGCUUGCCACUUGGCAACCGCCGAUACUAUUUGCAAAGGAGCAGGAUCAUGCUCCAAAAUAAGGCUCAAAAACCUGAUAGUGUAGAAACCUCCGAGUUCUCUUUAACAAGUUUUAAUAUUUUCACUCCGUCCUUAAAAGAAAAAGAUAAUCCAGUAUCUUUUGACAAUUCCUCAAUAUUUUUCCGUUUACCCAUCACCAUCUUGGUCAUACUCGUAUCAAACUUUUUUUUAUCUAACUGACACCAGCUGUUUUUUUAUAACUUGACAAUUGAACCCCUAUUAAAUUGUCAAGCCCCUUCAACCGAUCUCCAUCUUCUAAAUUAUCCACCUCAGCACAUGAAUUUUGGCUAAUCUUAUCCAUCAAAUCAAUAGGUGUAACUUGAGGAGAUAAAUUAGUUCUAGGAUCCCCAAAAAUCUUUCGCAUAUUUUCUGUUUCCAAAAAAACAGGUGUCUUCUCCAAACUUGCUUCUUUCUCUUUUCGAUGAUCCAGUCUAGUUACCACUAAAGAAGAGCCACCGUCUUUGCUCUUUACUUCCUCACCCGUAUAAUAACACUGUUUCAUUGCCCUUUUCGUCGAGAAACCAAGCUUUAAACUUUUUCUUCCUAAUAAGGAUAAUUCAGAUUUAAGUGCCAAAGAAUAAGGAAGAUCAUCUUUCACCUUUUCACGAUCUUUAGACAAGAUCACCAUAUAGCCCUUAAUCCCAUGACCCAAACAACUACAGCCAAAGCAAAAAGUCGAAAGAUUCUCAUAAUGGAAGGAGAGCCAAAUUUUUUUCCUGAUUACCCGAUAAGACAAAAAUCCCUCUUCGCGACGGUCUUUGCACAUCAAAAUUAACUCUAAACCGGCAGAACUCACAUUUGAUUUUCGAUUGAAUUACUCCUCCAAAAGUGGAACCAACAGCAUGCAUCAAAUCCUUUUUAUCACACUCUGGCGGACACGAACCAAUCUUGAGCCAAAAAGGUGAAAAUACAAGACGGAUCUUAUUCUGUUUGAUAGAUUGUAACAGCCGAUCAAAAAUAAUUAAUUAUUUUCGGAAGAACCAUGGGCGCCCUUCCAAAAUUUGCUUUAAAUCCUCUUCAUCUUCGAACAUUAUCAUGAAUAAAUUUUGUCCUACAACAUGAAUCUCGAACUUCUUUUUAGUUUUCCAUAUACUCUUCAUUUGUGCCCUCAAACUAUCCGGGUUGUAAGUUUUCCUAGUCCAGACAGAACAAAUUAACGUCAGAUUUUUAGGCGAAACUACUAAUGAACUUUUCACUGUUAGUUGAACCAAUUCUUCUUCAAGGAGGGCUAUCUCAUCCCCCCGUCCAUACUCCAAAAGUCAUCACUCGCCUCCUUCCCAACCAUAGUACUUGUUGUUUCUUCGGGAGAACUAAGAGAGCAUUCUCGACUUUUCUAAGUGACAUAUUUAAAAUGAUGAUAAGUGAACAGUAUUUAUGUUUGACAUUUUAACAUUUUACGUAUUAAAUUAAUGUGGGUCUCAUAAUUUAAAUGAAAAUUAUUAUUUAAGACAAUAAAUAUUAUAAACAUAAAAUUUAAAAUUUAUAAAUAGUAUUAAAGCUAUACAAAAUUCUUAUAUAAAAUAAAGAACAUUACACAUGAUUAAAUAAUAAGGAAUAUUGAAAAUAAUAAGAAUACAUUUUUUUUUUGGAAUUGGUAGUACAUAUUUUUAAUUAUAAAAAUGCAAUACGUAUUUUAACUAUUAAAUGUAAUACAUACUGUUUAAACAUCAAAUAAAUUUAAAUAUUCAAAAAAAAGUUUAAAAUAAUGAAUUUUUUUCUUUCUAAUUUUAAAAUAUGUUAAUUUUUAAUUUUUAAUAUUCAAAAAAAUUAAUUAAAUUAUUUUAAGAUAUUGAAAAAAAUUAAUAUUCAAAUUUGUUAUAUCCUACUUUACUGUAUUUCCUAUUGAUAGUUAAUAUUUCAUUUUUACAUUUAAAUUAAUAUUAGAAGUAAAAAUUUUAUUAAAAAUAUUCUUCUGAAUAAAAUUAAUAUAUAAAUUAAUGUAUAUUUAAAAAUUAUGCAUUCUUAACGUAUAAAUUUGUUAUUUAUCUUUUAAUUUUUCAAUGUAUACAAAAUUUAUACUAAGUUUUUAGUAAAUAAAUAUAAUUAAAUUAAUAUAUACAAUCAAUUCUUGCAUUACAUAGGUAAAAAAAAUGGGAAAAUAAAAUAAGAAGGUAAAAAUAAGUUUCAAAAAUUUGUGAUGUUUUUAGGAAGAAUUAUUUUUUUAUGCAUUUAAUAUUUUUUUUAAAAUAAUCAAUUAUAACAUGCAAGGGUUAAUAUAUAUAUAUAUAUAAGUCAAGAGAAAUUUUGACUUAUAGUUACUUAUAUAUAAUAUUAUAUUUAAAAAUUAAAGUAAAAAAUACAAUAGGAAAAAUAGGAAAUAAAGUACUAAAUUAAAUAUAAUUUAAUAAUUGAAUAUUUAUAAUUAAAAAGUUAUAUAAAUUAAUAUUUUAUUAUCUAAUAUAGUUGUUAUUGAAAUAUAUUUAAGGUAAUAAAAAAUAAUCAAUUUGAAUUUAUUAUUAUUUUAAAAUUAAAAAUACACUAGAUUAAGUAUAUUAUAUUUAUUAUGUAUAACAUGCUAUUUAAAAUGGUGGUUAAAAUUUUUAUCAAACAGCCAUUUAACACUAAUUCAAAUUGUGUUACCCCAUUCUUCAACCCUAAUAUUAUAUAAAAAUACUUGCAAUAAAAUUAUAAGGCAUCCUUGUAAUGAAUCUUUCACAUAGAAUCAUUUUUAUUUUUUCUAGAGACUUCAAUUUUUAAAUCCUUUUUUUUUAUGGACGUGAAAAAUUCCUUCAUUUUCUGAAUAAUACAUUAAUAAUCAAUUAUCAAAAGAUCACUAAGAAUACGGUUCAAAAAAAAGAUUACCAAGAAUAAGUUUUCCAAUCCAUUUUCCGCGCAAUACACACGCAUGCAUAAAUAUAUAUACACUAAAUUUAUGGGAUAAUCAAGAUGGGUAAAAUUUUUCAUACAGGCUUUUGUAUUAAGAGUUAAAAUGUAUUUUAUCUCUCAUAUUAAAAAGUGAAAAAUUAGUCAUUAUAUAUUAGAUCAAAGAGCAGAUUGGUCCUUUCUGUUAAAAAAUUAUUUACUUAUACUGUUAAAAAUUGACGUGACUAAUGUAAUAAUGAGACAUUGGCACAUGGCGUGCCAUGUGCUACUUAUGCUAACAUAUAGGAACCAAUUUUUAACAAUGGAAAUAUACGGAACUUUUAACAGAAGGACCAAUUUAUUUUUUGAUCUAACAUACAAGAAUCAAUUUAUCUAUUUUAGUAGGGGAUAAAGUACAUUCUAACUCCUAAUAUAGGGACCUCCAUAAAAUUUUACCUAAAAUUUCACAUAAAAAUCAAUUAAUACUUUAGUUAUCAUAAUGCUUUAUGUUCAAAUUUUAUUAUAUCAAAUUUUAAUUAAUUUAUUAUAAAAAUAAAAAUAUUCUCAUAAAAAUAUAACAUAAUUUAUAUAAAAAAUUGAAUUGUUGAUUAAGUAAAAUUUGAAAUCGUUGUGACAAAUGUUGUUGUAUUAAAACUUGGAAUAAAGAUAUGGCCAAAAAGAAACCUUCGAAUAAUGAGACAUCGAUUGGUUUUAUAGACAAGGCAUAAGAAUAGCAAUUUUGACUUUUUACUCAAAAAUAAAAAAAAUUAAAUUAAUUAAUUUUUAUACAUUUUGAAAUAUGCAAAUUAAUCUUUCUUUUAAAUUUUAUCUACUAAACGAUGACAUGGAACAUUAAUUUAAAUGAUUAAUUACUAAUUUGGUCUCUGAAUUAUGGUUAAAAUAUUAUUUUAUUUUUAUUUUUCCUUCAUAAUAAUAAUAAAUAAAAAUAUUAAAAAUUAUGUUAAAAUAUUUUAAAAUUAAAAUUAUAAAUAAAAAAUUCUAAAAAUUCAAAAUAUAUAUGUAAAAAAAUCUAAAAAUUUUACAAAGAAAAAAUAUAUGUUAUCAAAUUUUCAAGUCGAAACCUAGAAACCAUCUUGUUUUUACAAAACUUUCUUCCCUAUUUUACAAAACCCAGAAAAAUAAAAAAUAUUUCCAAUGUUUAAUUGAAGCCAAAAAUAAAUAAAUAAAAAGUUAAUUGAAGCAAAAAAAAAUCAAAUAAAAGUCUUGAUUACUCACUUUCUAAUUUCUCAUGCUUUUGUUAAUAUUCAGUUCCAUUUUGGUCGCCCAUGCUUCUAACUAAAAGGUACAUAAAAGUUUAUUUAAUGUUUACUUUAUUCUACUUUAGUGAAUACUCAUUGUAAUAGGCUCAAUUUGCCCGGCCCAAUUUUAUAAAUAAAAACAAAAUUAUUAAAAGUCCAUCAGUCAAGUUACAACCCAAUUUUCAUAACCCGAUUACAAUGGCCCAAAAACCCAAGUCACCUAACCCUAACCCAAAAUUCUAACCUAGCCCAAAACCCAACUCAGCCCCAAAACACUGAAAACCCUAGCAGCAGCAGGAGCCUCCUGCGCCGCUGCCACACACGCCUCUCCCCAUGCUCGUGGUGCCACGUCCGCUGCCUCCGUACGCUAACUGGUCUCCGUACCUGCAAAAGACGAACAAACGAGCAGCAGAAACAGAUAACAACGGCAAAAGGAGCAGCAAUUGACAGCAAAAGUACUAGCAGCAAAUAAAAACUGUAAAAGUUUUAUUUCUUUGUCCCUAUUUGGCUAUAAAAGGGCCGAUUGUAACCUGUAAAAAAGAGGGCAAUUAGAAUACAAAAAAAAAAAACACCAAAAGGUGAUUUCUAGGUUCAUUUUUUUUCUCUCUUAUUAUUUGUUCGUAGUUCGACCUUUUUUUGUUUUGUUGUUUUUCAUUUUGAGACUCUGUUGAGCAUUUACUAAAGAGAUAAUAGCAAUAAAAGAGAGAGGGUGUACCUCACGUUUGGACCGAUUGCUCUUCGUCUGUUGUCGUCGGAGUUAAAGGCAUGGUUCGGAGAGCCUCUGAAGGGGGCGAUGAACUGCUGAGCGGCGCCGAGAGAGAGGGAGAGUUUAAGUGUUUUAAAGAAAAAGGGAUAAAAUGUUUGGUUAGGUUUUUUUGUGUGUGUUUUGUUUUGUUUUAAUAACCGGAUUCAAAACGGCAUCGUCUAAUGACUAAACCCGAGCAGUGACCCGAUUCGGGGUAGGAUCCACAUCCUUUGGUUGGUUGGUCUAUUUUCCUAAUAGGUCCCUCCGUGUUUAAGGGGAUUGCGAUUUGAUUUCUUUUAAUGAUUUGUAAUUUGUACCUCAUAUUUACUGCUGUAUUCAUCUGGGUCCUAGUUUAAACAGUGCCGUUUCUGUGAUUUGAUAUGUAUUAUCUCAAUGUUUGCGUAUAAUUGCUGAUUUGGUCCUUUAUUUUUUUUUAUAAAUUUUAAUUUAAUACUAAGUUGGUUUUUUUUCUUAAAUUUCAACAAUAUUUUCAUCCUACUUUCGUAUAUUACAGUAUUUAACAUUAUUUGUAACAUUUAUUUUUAUAGUGUUUAAAU